UGGCUCCAAGCUCGCCUCCCGAAACGAUAUAAGGAGCUCGUCGCCUCCCCGCAACCCUAGGGCUCCCGUUUUCCCCUUCUCCUCCCUCUCGCGCCGUCAGGGAAGGGCCUCCGACGCGGACGCCAUGGGAGGUCCUCAGUGAGCUCGAGCAGCAGCAGUUCGCGGACUCCUCCGCUCCUUCGAUAGCACUAGGUGGACGCGGUGGCCGAGGAGAUCCCGUUCCCAUAGCAACCUGAUGGCUUCUUCCUCGACGUCCACGUUGUCUUCUUCCUCCCCUGCUGUCGGCGAACUCCUCUGCUUCGGAUCGACGCCCUCCUUCCUCUCCUGCACCGGUUCAUCAUCUAGGUUCUAGGUGAGCGUUCCCCGCUUCUUCCCCCUCUCUGGUAGCACGAGUAGGUGAACAAAGCGACGACUGUCCAGAGUAGUGCGUAGGAGCUCGAGCAGCAGCACCACCGUAGCUAGGUGGUCGUAGAUCCGGCGUAGCAGUGCUUCUAUCGGAGAGAUUAGGCCGGGAAUGGAAUCCAUGUGGUUCCUACUUCCCCCCCCNNNNNNNNNNNNNNNNNNNNNNNNNNNNNNNNNNNNNNNNNNNNNNNNNNNNNNNNNNNNNNNNNNNNNNNNNNNNNNNNNNNNNNNNNNNNNNNNNNNNCUGAACACCUACUUACGUCAAACAUAACCCCACCAUGUUCCCCAUCGAAGAGAGGUCUUCGAAGGAGACAGUCACGGUUACGCACACAGUUGGCAGUUUUAUUAGAGUUAGUUCAAGUUAUCAGGACCGGAUGUUAACAAAUUAUCCAUGCUUGCCACAUAACCGCAGGCACGACUUUCCGAAAGAUUAAACCCUGCAGGGGUGCUCCAACUAGUCCAUCAAAACGGUCACGAGCCGCAAAGUAAUCCUCUAUCACGAAUCUCGUGAUCUCGUCGGAUUCCUUAGAGGAAAACCUCAACUUUGAGGAGACCCAAAGUUUCAUCGGGAUUCCUAUACGCAAGAUAUAUCGCUAAGGUAAGACAAAUCUAGCAGGACCUCCCGACGUNNNNNNNNNNGGGAGACCGAAAGUUUCACCUGGAUUCCUAUACCCAAGAUAUAUCGCUAAGGUAAGACAAAUCUAGCAGGACCUCCCGACGUGUCGACGACCCCGAUAAGAGCCGCGUAUCUCAGUCUCAGGACACGCCGGAUAAGCGAAGCGUACGGUGGCCUGAUAGAAAUCUCCUGAGUUGCCCCGGGUUGGCCCCGCACGGUGCUCUGGUUUGGACCAACACUCAUGAGGAGCACUGGCCCGGGUUGUUGAUUAAAUCCUCGGGGUAGCUAUUCCCUAUGCAAAUUAUUAUUAGGUGAUUAGCAAAUUAAAACCAAUGUUGGGUCCUACCGGACAAGCCUUAACACUACACGAUUUAUCAAGGGGGACCCCAUAACAACCCCGAACGUGUUAGGAGCGAUCAGUUAUGGAAUCAANNNNNNNNNNAAUAAGAGCCGCGUAUCUCAGUCUCAGGACAUGCCGGAUAAGCGAAGCGUACGGUGGCCUGAUAGAAAUCUCCUCAGUUGCCCCGGGUUGGCCCCGCACGAUGCUCUGGUUUGGACCAACACUCAUGAGGAGCAUUGGCCCGGGUUGUUGAAUAAAUCCUCGGGGUAACUAUUCCCUAUGCAAAUUAUUAGUAGGUGAUUAUAAAAUUAAAACCAAUGUUGGGUCCUGCCGGACAAGCCUUAACACUACACGAUUUAUCAAGGGGGUCCCCAUAACAACCCCGAACGUGUUAGGAGCGAUCAGUUAUGGAAUCAAACACCGGUAGCCGAAACUAAGGUGGCAACAACGGAACAAGUCACCUGGCAAAAGGCUAGGCCUUCCGUCAUUUACCAAGUAUAUAGGUGCAUUAAUUAAAUAGAAGAUUAAUCAUAAUGAUAUCAAAAUACUCAUGUUAUCACAUGAGACAGCUGGCACCUGCAACUAACAAAACUAAUCAUUAGAAGUUGAGCAAGCCUACUUAGCCAAACAUUAGCUAGGAGGGGAAGGUGUUUUGGGUUUCAUGGCAUUAACAAGAGGCAUUUUAACAAGUGGUAGGCAGUGAGCAUAUAUCGAAGGAAACGUGAUUCUAAGCAUAACAAAGCUAGAUAUGGUAUCAAGGUCACGGUCAUCUUGCGUGUGAUGUCUUUAGCUUGGAACUGCUCUUGAUCGUCCUGCACGUACUCUCCAGAAUCCACGUACUCGCUCUCUGAUCCCGGUGCUACCCAAGAUAAAAAAACAGCCAAUGUACUCCAACACAACAUGAUGCAACAAAUAAUGUGAUGCAUGAGAUGAGAAGGAAGCAUGCCUCACUAUUCUAGUCACUUGCAUAUACAUGAGAUGAGAAGAUAAACUUCUGGACAGAACUUCACACUAAGCUAUCUUGACAUGCAUGAGGAUGGCAUGAAGAGGUGCAUCACGAGAAAACGAUGCAAAAACAUAUAAAGAACGUUGAGAACGGAGCUACGGAUCAACCGGAAACUACGAAACAAGAUAUGGAGUCCUACGGGUGAAAUCAAACACAAGAACACUCCAAUGGCACUCUUCUGGUGUUCCCAGGUUGCCACAUGAUCAAACAAACAAAUAUAAGUGGAGUGGUGCAAAGAAACUCACCACACCACCAACAAUACUCACACAAGCUUCAAAACAACUAAAACAUGCAAUCUGACCUAAACAACAUCAUAGCAGUUUGCCUACAACAUUCAAAGUACCUACAGCCACCUAAAUGAGCCAAACAAGAUAUGUGGCAAAAGACAUUCAAAAGCUCUACAAGCCUGAGCAAUAAGCUACUGAAAAGGCAUCACACGUAAGAAGAUCUAUGGACACAAACUUGGACAAAAAUAAUAGAUUUCUCGGACUUAGUGAAAAUCUCAGAUUUUCACUAGCUGCUUAUGCUCUGAAGCAUUUUGGCAGCCUCCAAAAUGAUAUCUACAGGAAGUGAAAGUGCAUGAAAUUUAACGGAGGGCUAGACAAACCCAAAAUCUCACAAACCUUAGUUUGUUGCAUGGGUUGAUUCCCAAUACAUGAGCUUGUGCAACCACAUCAACAAGGGAAGAAAAUAACAGCAGUUUCUCAGAUUUUCACAAAGCUGACAAUUUCAGCCAAGUGUCAACUUUGACAANNNNNNNNNNNNNNNNNNNNNNNNNNNNNNNNNNNNNNNNNNNNNNNNNNNNNNNNNNNNNNNNNNNNNNNNNNNNNNNNNNNNNNNNNNNNNNNNNNNNGGCAUAAGAACCUUGGUUUGCUCAUGAAUAUUAUAUACUUAGCUUGUUUUCCUCUAAAAUGACAUAAUUAGCCCAUUUAGCUCCAAAAUGGCCUAUUUAAUAAAACAAUGACCUAUACUUACCUAAGUUCUCUUCUAAAUGACAUAAUAAGGCUAUGUAGCUCCAAGAUGACCUAUUCCACCUAACUUAGCUAUUAAAUGGCCUAUAAUUAGCUUAGCUAGCUCGCAAAUGGCUUAAUAAUCAUAGUUGGCUCCAAAAUGACAUAUUUUACCCAAGUUAGCUCUAGAAUGGCCUAUACUUUGCUUGGCUUCCACCUAAAUGACAUAAUUAGCUUAAUUAGCUCCAAAAUGGCCUAUUUAAUAAAAAAUGACCAAUACUUACCUAAGUUCUCUUCUAAAUGACAUAAUAAGGCUAUGUAGCUCCAAUAUGACCUAUUGCACCUAACUUAGCUAUUAAAGGCGUGUUCAGAGUCCCUCCACUCCACCACUCCGCUCCAGGAGCGGGUGGAGCUGAAGUUCAAAACUGUGGAGCGGGUCAAUAGACACUCCGUGGAUCCUUGAAUUCGAGGGAGCCGGUUGAUUGCCGAACAACCCCUAAAUGGCCUAUAAUUAGCUUAGCUAGCUCCAAAAUGGCUUACUAAUCAUAGUUGGCUCCAAAAUGACAUAUUUUAUCCAAGUUAGCUCUAGAAUGGCCUAUACUUAGCUAAGUUCUCUCCUAAAUGACAUAAUAAGUCUAUGUAGCUCCAAGAUGACCUAUUCCACCUAACUUAGAUAUUAAAUGGCCUAUAAUUAGCUUAGCUAGCUCCAAAAUGGAUUAAUAAGCAUAGUUGGCUCCAAAAUGACAUAUUUUUUCCCAAGUAGCUCCAAAAUGACAUAUACUUAGCUAAGUUCUCUCCUAAUGACAUAAUAAGGCUAUGCAGCUCCAAGAUGACUUAUUCCCCCUAACUUAGCUAAGUUCUCUCUGAAAUGACCUAUACUUUUCUUCUUCAUCUAGUCUUCUUCUUCUAACUUUUUAUUUGCCAUUUUGUAGAUUACAUUCACUUCACGGGAAGCUUGGAUUAUAUUGAUGGAGUGCUUGAAUAUGGUUGAUUCUACCAUGGCUUCACGGAAGCUUGGAUUGAAACUAUUGUAGUAUAUGGAUAUAUAUGUAACUUUGAAUGCAUGGAUGAAACUAUUGUAAUAUAUGGUUUGGUACGGAUGCAACUUGCAUAAUAUGUAUGUAUUAUGGAUGAAAGUUAUUUUAAUAUGGUUAUGAGUAUGGAAACAAAAUUAUUUCUGUCAAAUAUAUAUAUAUCCUGAUUAUUGUGAAAAUUAUUCCUGAUUUGUGUGAAAAUUGCUGGAUAUUAUAGAAAAUAAAAUAAACAGGGUUUGUUUUGAGCCUUUGUCGUCCGCCCACCAAUGGCAAAGGGCAUGCAGCAGAGGGAAAAGGCUCAAACAUGCGUGGGAUGAAACAUGCUGGGGUGCCCCUUUGCCGUUGGCCUGAGACAUGGCUGACGACAAAAGAGGAGGGCAGACGACAAAGGUGAGGGAGAGAGGGGCUGGGUGCCCCCCUUUGCCGUCGGCCUCAAACAUGGCUGACGACAAAGGGGGGGGGGUAGGGAAGACGACAAAGGUGGGGUAGGGCAGAUGACAAAGGGGGGGUAGGCCUAGCAGGCUGCCGUUAGCACUUAACGGGAGCGAUUGCGAAUCUGCCAUCCCAUUUUGUUUGCCAUUAGCCCCACCAUGGCAAAGAUUCUUUGUAGUCCGCCUUCCAAAGGCACACGACAAAGAACCUCUUUGCCGGAUAAAUCUUUGCCGUCUAGUUUGCCGUCCGGGGCGCCCCCCUUUGCCGUCUGCCCUGCCGGACGACAAAGUUUCUAAUCCCUGUAGUGCACAUAGCUACUGUAGAAGAUCUCAGCCCCGAGGAGGAACUACUCCCGCUUCAUGGAGGGAGGAAGCAACAUCGACGGAGAUGAAUCCCGGGGCACUUCCCUGUCCCGGCAGGGUGCCGGCACAGGAAUUCUGGUCCCCCGAAACUUGUUGACGAUGGCGGCGGAUAUUGGAAUUGCUUUUGGCGAAAAGGGUUCCAGAAUCAGCAUUUCCUCCACGGGGGUAAAAGUAGGAGCCGAGGUAGGGUUCCAGAGGAGGUGGGCCCCACCCAAGCGGCCUGUGGGCGCGACCAGGGGGUAGGCCGUGCAGGGAGGCCGCCUGGGCGACGCCUGGCUCCCCUCUAGCGAACCUUUGGUGCUCUCGAAGCUUCUGUCACGCUGAUUUUUAUAUAUUUUUCUUGGGAUUUUUGGGACUCGGUAAAUUGGGGUAAAAGUCCGUGCAAAAAAAGACAUCAGCAGACAAAAACUAGCACUAGGUGCACUGAGUUACUAGGUUUGUCCAAAUAUGUGUCAAAAGGUAUGAAAGUGUACAAAACACAUAGCAAUAUCACCCAAAACUUGCAUGGAGCAAGCAGAAAUUAUAGAUACGCUUGGGACGUAUCAACAUCCCCAAGCUUAAUUCCUACUCGUCCUCGAGUAGGUAAAUGAUAACAAGCAUAAUUUAUGUGGUGACAUGCUAACACACAUAUAAGAACUUCAAAGUAAAGCAAGCAAGAUAUGAAAUUCAAGUCAAGACAAUAACAAGCAAGAGUCUAUAUCUAGUAUUGAAACUAGCAAAGUAAGAACAUAAAGGUGCAAGAGCUCUCGCUGUCCGUGACUCGAAUGUCUCCAAAUGGUGUUUGCGUGCAAGAAGCGGGAGAUAGGUUUAGAGCAUAAAAAUAGUAUUUAAUUGAGAACUCAAUCUACUAAAACUUUACACUUGGUCUCCUUCAGAAUCUUAUUUUGACUCAUCGCCAGACCACUAGUCAGGCACAAGUCAAAAUGAUCCUCUCCCUUUCGACUUUGAGCACUCAUACAAUGGAUGAGCGCAAUCAAGAUAUGUUGGCACUUAGGAUGGAAAAUAGAAUAAUGAUGGGGAAGGACGACAAAUAGGUGUGAAAGGCUCACAUCAAUGAGGACAACCAUAGGCGAGAGAAGGCCAAAUGAUAGAUAUGAUGUGAGGAGUAGGGAUUGCCAUGCAACGGAUGCAUGAAUGAUAAUCUCUAUGUAGUACAAAUAUAACAAUGGAGUACGAGUGUGGAUCUUUCAAAAGGAAUAGUAGUGUUGCCCCCUUCUCUCUUUUUAUUUCUUUUUCUUUUUUUCUUUUUUUGUGUGGCCUCUUUGGUGCUUUAUAUAAUUCUCUCAUUUGUCGUCUUUGGGAUCUUUUCAUUUGUCCUCUUUGGGAUCUUUUCCUCACUUAAGGGCAACACUCUAUGUUUUACAAGAAUAAAAAGAAGAUCAUCACACUUUAUAAGAAGUACUCAACAUAAAGACAAAUGAAAACUAUCAUGAUGUAUGCAAAUGUAUGCCUCUACCAGUGUAGGAGGAUAUGCAAUGAUACUAGCACGUCAUGCAGCAAUAAUAAGGACAAGGACCAACUAGCAUGCGGCUCCUCGAUCAAGCAAAAGCAUGUAUGACAUGAAGAUCAAGUCAUGAGAUGGUGGAUGUUGCAUGGCAAUGUAUCUCGGAAAGGCUAUGGAAAUGCCUUAAUAGGUAGGUAUGGUGGCUAUUUUGAGGAAAGAUAUAAUGAGGCUUAUGAUGACAGAGUUUAUCAUGUCAAGGGUUUGGAUGAACCGGCGAAGUUUGCACCAACUCUCAAGAUGAGAAAGGGAAAUGCAUGGUACCGAAGAGGCUAGGGAUGGUGGAAGUUGNNNNNNNNNNNNNNNNNNNNNNNNNNNNNNNNNNNNNNNNNNNNNNNNNNNNNNNNNNNNNNNNNNNNNNNNNNNNNNNNNNNNNNNNNNNNNNNNNNNNCUUGAAACCCAAAGUAGUAAUUUCAUCACUACUCAAAGUUUUGAUAUCCUCUACUCCGCUUUCAAUGCUUCUAGCAUCAAGGUAGAUAGACUCCGAAUCAUUGGGGCGUUUUCCAACCAAAGUGGAUUCAUAUCCAGCCCCAUCAUCAUUAGGUUUAACAUUAGAAAACAAGGAUUCAAUGGGAGUCACACCAAGCACUUUAAGAUCUUUGUGAUUCUCAUCAUGAGAACACACCUUUUCAAGCCAUUCAUGUCUAGCACGAAUUUGGGCGGUUCUUUCUUUACUCUCAUUCAUGAAACACGCAUAGCUUUGAAAGUUUCAUCCAUAUUAAUCUUGGGAGGAGCACAUCUCAAUUUCAAAGCAUCAAUAUCAAGAGACAUUAUAUCAACGGUCCUAGCCAAGUCAUCAAUUUUGAGCAGUUUUUCUUCUAUGGACGCAUUGAAAAUCUUUUGCGAGUUGAUAAUCUCUUUAAUAUUACUCUCAAGAUCAUAGGUUAAUUUAUUGUAAUUUCCAUGAGCAUUGUUGUAGGAAUUGCCAAAGUUAUUAGAAGGAUUACUAGGAAAAGGCCUAGGAAUAAAGUUACCUCUAUAAGCAUUGUUGUUGCCAAAAUCAUUCCUACCAACAAAAUUAACAUCCAAGCUCUCAUUGCUAUUCUCAAUCAAGGAAGACAAAGGUAUAUCAUUUGGAUCUAGACGAGCACCUUUACUAGCAAACAAUUUCAUUAACUCAUCCAUCUUAGAACUCAAAGAGUUAAUUUCUUCUAUAUCACGCAUUUUUUUACUAGUAGGUGACCUUUCAGUGUGCCAUUGAGAAUAGUUUGUCAUGAUAUUGUCUAGGAGUUUUGUGGCUUCUCCUAAUGUGAUUUCCAUGAAGGUUCCACCGGAGGCGGAAUCCAAGAUAUUUCUAGAAGCAAAAUUCAAACCAGCAUAGAAGAUUUUUAUAAUCAUCCAAAGACUCAAGCCAUGAGCGGGACAAUUUCUAAUCAUCAAUUUCAUCCUCUCCCAAGAUUGUGCAACAUGUUUAUGAUCUAGUUGCUUAAAAUUCAUGAUAUCAUUAUGGAGAGAGAUAAUCUUAGCCGGUGGAAAAUACUUGGAUAUAUAAGCAUCUUUACACUUGUUCCAAGAAUCAAUGCUAUUUUUGGGUAAAGAUGAAAACCAAAUUUUUGCUCGAUCUCGUAAUGAGAACGGAAAUAACUUCAAUUUAAUCACAUAAUUAUCCACAUCUUUCUUCUUUAGUGGCAGGAGCAAUCGGAGUACUAAUAAAAUCAUUAUUAUUAGUAUUCGAGAAGUCACACAAUUUGGUGUUUUCAGUCAUGGUGACUUCAGCAAGCAGACAAGCACACAAGCGAACAGAAAGCAAGCGAAAGAAAAGGCGAACGAAAAAGGCAAAUAUUUUUGUAUUUUUUUUUCAGAAGUGGGGGAGAGGAAAACGAGAGGCAAAAGGCAAAAAAGUAAAUGCAAGAGAUGAGUUUGUGAUAGUUACUUGGAUGAGCUUCACUUAGAAUAAUCCCCGGUGCCAGAAAUUGACAUGUUGAAGGGAGACUAUUCUUGACUUGAUACUCCCCGGCAACGGCGCCAGAAGUUCUUCUUGCUACCUCUUGAGCUUGCGUUGGUUUUUUCCCUUGAAGAGGAAAGGUUAUGCAUCACAGUAGCAGUAAGUAUUUCCCUCAGUUUGAGAACCAAGGUAUCAAUCCAGUAGGAGUAUCAAGACAAGUCACCAAUGUACCUGCGCAAAAACAAACAAACUUGCACCCAACGCUAUAAAGGGGUUGUCAAUCCCUUCACGAUUAAUUGCAAGGUGAGAUCUGAAGGUGGAAAGUGCAACAAAGUAAAAGUGUAGAGCUGAAAUUAUGAUGUGAACUAGACCCGGGGGCCAUAGUGUUCACUAGAGGCUUCUCUCAUGAUAGCAAGUAUUACGGUGGGUGAACGAAUUACUGUCGAGCAAUUGAUAGAACCGCGCAAAGUCAUGACAAUAUCUAAGGCAAUGAUCAUACAUAUAGGCAUCACGUCUGAGACAAGUAGACCGAUACUGUCUGCAUCUACUACUAUUACUCCACACAUCAACCGCUAUCCAGCAUGCAUCUAGUGUAUUGAGUUCAUAACGAACAGAGUAACGCCUUAAGCAAGAUGACAUGAUGUAGAGGGAUAAAUUCAUGCAAUAGUUAUAAACCCCAUAUUUUUACCCUUGAUGGCAACAACAUGAUGUGUGCCUCGCUACCCCUUCUGUCAAUGGGUGAGGACACCGCACGGUAUGAACCCAAAACCAAGCACUUCUCCCAUUGCAAGAAUUAUAGAUCAAGUUGGCCAAACGAAACCCACAACUCGAAGAGAAUUACAAGGAUACGAAAUCAUGCAUAUAAGAGAUGAGAGGAAACUCAAAUAAUAUUCAUAGAUAAUCUGAUCAUAAAUCCACAAUUCAUCGGAUCUCGACAAACACACCGCAACAGAAGGUUACACCGGAUAGAUCUCCAUGAAGAUCAUGGAGAACUUUGUAUUGAAGAUCCAAGAGAGAGAAGAAGCCAUCUAGCUACUAGCUAUGGACCCGAAGGUCUGCGGUGAACUACUCACGCAUCAUUGGAGAGGCAAUGGUGUUGAUGAAGAAGCCCUCCAUGUCUGAAUCCCCCCUCGGCAGGGCACCAGAACGUGCCCCAGAUGGGAUCUUGCGGAGAGAGAAGCUUGCGGCUGCAGGAAAAGUAUUUUCGUGGCUCUCUCUGGCAGUUUUGGAUUUUUAGGGAAUUUAUAGGCGGAAGAAGUAGGGCAAAGGAGCCAUGGGGGGCCCACAAGCCUGGUAGGCGCCCCCCAGGCCAUGGCUAGGGGGCUUGUCGCCUCCCCUAGAAUCCUUUGCCUUGGUUCUCAAGUUCCUUGCGUAUCUUGUGUUACGGAAAAAAUCUUUCCGAAGGUUUUAUUCCGUUUGGGUUCCGUUUAAUAUUCUUCUGUGAAAAGGGUCAAAACCAUGGAAAAAACAGGAACUGGCACUUGGCACUGAGUUAAUAGGUUAGUCCCAAAAAAGAUAUAAGAUAGCAUAAUCAUGCAAACAAAACAUCCAAAGUUGACAAGAUAAUAGCAUGGAACCAUAAACAAUUAUAGAUAUGUUGGAGACGUAUCAGGGGGUUUAGGUGUGUCCACAGCCCUCCCAACCCUCCUUUAUUUAUAGGAGGAAGGGUUGAGGGGGUCGUACACCCUAAUAAACCCUAGGAGGGGGCGGCGGCGGCCCUAGGGGUGGCUUGCCUCCCAAGUUGGACCACUACAAGGAAUAUGCUAAUACACGACGCUAUUUUUUCGUCGCUACAUCAUCACGGUUUUUAAUUUACGACGAUCUCACGACGAAAAACCAAGCGUCGAAAACGGAGCGUCACAAAUGGACAACAGCGAUGUUUUGAUCAAAAUCGUCGUAACCUUUACGACAAUUCCUGGAUUGUCGUAACCUUUACGACGAUCCUAAAUCGUCGUUGGCAAUCAAACCCAGUCCUACGUGGCAGUCCUAGGUGGCAAAAUUACGACGAAAUCAAAACGUCAUGGUUGAAAUCAGCCCAACCCAUUUCAAUUGAUCACAUGGGCUGGUUUUUUUGGGGGCUUUUUCUUAUUGGGCCUUAGCCUAUUUACAGCCACUUUAGUAAUCAUUUUUGGGCCCUAGCCUUUUAGUGUCCAAAUACAUUUGAUCCAAUUUCAGUUUUGGCCUUUUUUUCAUUUUUAAAUUCAGCAACUUUUUUUAUUUUAUGUUGUUAAUGAAUCUAUGAAUAACAGCCCAGUCAUGUGAAUUUUCAGAAAACAUUUUGACAGCAUAAUGCGUUGAAAGAAUCCAAACCAACAAGAAUGAUGCAAUGUUGUUGUUCAUUUCAAAACUGAUUCGUGCACUCCAAGUGCAAGUGAGUCAAUACAUUCACUAGAUUAAACUUUCCAUGUCACCAUCCUACCACAACAUUUCCACAACACCCCAAACUAAAAAAAUUACUCGCUCAUGGAUGAAUUUAACAGCCACUACUACUCGCUGCUGGCCCUUCCUUGCUUGUCUUGUCAUUCUUCCACAACGCAGGCAUCGACUCGCCAAGACAGGCCUUCCUUCCUUCCGUGCAUUGAAUACAAAAGGAGCUCAGAUAUAGCACCCAGUAGAACGCCAAGCCAUCAUCAGACACUUCACACCAUACGUCUUUAUCAAACACUUCACACCAUACGACACCCAGUCGUCCAACUACAACCAAGUGGCACUACAAGCUCCAUCCAUCGGGUCUUCUCGCCUUUGCAAUAUCAAACUUUCUGAUGACCUGGGCAGGGAGACACACACACACAUAGAGAUAACAAGAUUAACCGGUGGCCUCAAGAACCCAUAAAGGACAAACAAGCCAUAGAGCCAAAGCAACAUAAAUUUGUAGAACAACAAAAAGAACAAUAUGUGUUGCAUGUAUUUUAUACCAGGAAAAGGAACAACAGCCUAAAAGCCUACAUAUGCACUACAUUGGCUGAUAGCCGCACAACAAAAAAAUUAUCAAGCUGCAACUAUGAUACUCUCUUGGUUGCAACUAGCCUGGCCAGUGUCGGAUCACGUUGGGACAGUGUCUAACCAUUUUGUUACUUUGUGCAAGUGGCACUACAGAAAAAAUAUAUUAUAAGUUGGGGUGUAUCUAAAUGUAAGCCAGUCCUCAUACUUGUAAGCCCGGUAUGAAAGGAAGAAACCACAUUAAACAAAGUGACCUACUUGAUUUUCUUAUAGGUUGCUUGCAUGGAAUUUUCGUGUGAAAAAUCACAGCGAAAUACAUAUGCACGAAUCUCGUCAUUGUGUGUAACCGUGAACCUUUUUUUAAUUACAAUAAAGGGGCCGUAUGCAUCGUGCUGAUGCAGAGGCCGGAGGUAACCCUCUUUUUCUAAAAAAAAACUACAUUCAGAUCAACAUGCAUGCAUGCACGGUGAAAUGCAAAUAUAAACUCAGGUAUUUGUUCUGCUGAAGAAUCGAGCAAGACAAGUUCUCCAACAAAAAAACAAGUUCAACUAAGAGUGUCGUGGGUAUAAGCCUGACAGUAGAUGUGUAGGGUACGAAAGGAUGGGCAGAGCCUUAGCUACGACGAGGUUGUAUGAGUUCAGGCCCCUCUGCGGUGGAGGUAAUAGCCCUACGUCUCAGUGCUCUGGGAGNNNNNNNNNNNNNNNNNNNNNNNNNNNNNNNNNNNNNNNNNNNNNNNNNNNNNNNNNNNNNNNNNNNNNNNNNNNNNNNNNNNNNNNNNNNNNNNNNNNNNNNNNNNNNNNNNNNNNNNNNNNNNNNNNNNNNNNNNNNNNNNNNNNNNNNNNNNNNNNNNNNNNNNNNNNNNNNNNNNNNNNNNNNNNNNNNNNNNNNNNNNNNNNNNNNNNNNNNNNNNNNNNNNNNNNNNNNNNNNNNNNNNNNNNNNNNNNNNNNNNNNNNNNNNNNNNNNNNNNNNNNNNNNNNNNNNNNNNNNNNNNNNNNNNNNNNNNNNNNNNNNNNNNNNNNNNNNNNNNNNNNNNNNNNNNNNNNNNNNNNNNNNNNNNNNNNNNNNNNNNNNNNNNNNNNNNNNNNNNNNNNNNNNNNNNNNNNNNNGCCUACGUUACAGGUAACAUAAGUCUUAAAUGCUAAUAAAGGCACGGGGAAACGUAUGACCGUUUCCCUCCAGGGGGUUACGAGGCUCAGAGUGGAGUCCAGACGGUUAGUUUGAUACGCUCCGAAUGCUAGUCUCCGACUAGAUGGUCGAAGACCUGUUACCGACUGGAUGAUGGGAACUCCUUAGUUCAGUCGGAACUGACUAAGGGACUUGUCCCUUAUGAGAGGUAGUCCUUGGGUAGGACCUACAGGGCAGGCCUAUGACCCUACCAUAGGACUAUAACCCCAUCAUUAGUCCCCGAAUGGAUUGGGAUUGGAACGACGAAGCGAUGCUUGAAGUUUGGAUCCGACUGAUACGGAUGUGACUUUGGCGUUGCCUGCCUCAAUCCAUUUUAUCUUUUCUGACCAACGAUCCGAGUGGAAGUAUUUGUGAAACAAACUGUCGGAAACCGAGUGCUUCCGUGGCAUCUUCUGACGUGACCAGUCAACUGACAGCGGCGGAUUUUCCGGGAUCCUCAAAUUUCGGUUACCGCACGCUCAGCGGGGAUGACGACAUCGCGCUCGAGUAGCGCCUGACGCCUCGAUUCCCGCGCCUUCAUCUUCUCCACUGAUAUCGCCGCGGUCGGUCGGUGGAUAAGAUUUCGGGGCCACUUGCCAGUGACCCAGUCGGAACCUUACUUAAAUCCCAGCGGCGAGGGUUUUUUCGUUACGCUUGUCGGACAUCUCGCCUUUGCUCCGCUUCCUUCGCCAUCCUCUGCGCAUCCUAAGCUUCUUCCUUCUCCUUCUCCCUCGCGAAUCCGUAGCUUCCGCCAUGACAAAGGGGCAGACUAGCAAGCUAGAGGCGCGGAAGAAGAGGGGGAAGGUGGCGGCUCCUGCGCGGAAGCAGCGAACGCUACCGGCGGGGUGGAUCCAGGGGGACUUCCUCCCCUCCACUGUGAUGGAAGAGGACCUGCUGGAGCUGGUGGAGCACGGGCUGAUCGUGCACAAGUCGUGGAGGCUGUCGGCGGAGGGUGAGACCGAGCCGGCGCCCCGGGAGGGGGAGCGCGUCCUGCUGCUCAGCCACAUGCAUUGAGGUUUCUCCUUGCCCCCGCAUCCUUUCUUCAAAGGCAUAAUGAAUCACUUCGGGGCCCAGCUCCACCACUUUCCCCCGAAUGCCAUAGCCCAUCUCUCUGCUUUCGUAGUCUUGUGCGAGUGCUUCAUCGGUUGUCCUCCCCAUUGGGGGCUUUUCAAACAUAUCUUCUCUGCUAGAUCCCAAACUAUCAAACGACUUAAUCAGUCGGAUGAUAAGACUCACCUUCUCUAGCUCUGCGGAGGCUUAGGCUUCCAAAAGAAGAGCAAAGGUAGUUAUCCUGCUCUUCAGCUGAGUGAAUCGGUUAGGAACUGGCAGUCGACAUGGUUCUACUGCCAGGACAUUGCCAGCCCGAAUGCCACGACAGGGUUGCCCCCUUUUAGCUUAGAUCGACCAGCUCCGCCUAAGCAGCUCGCGCUCACGAAGGCGGAGAAGGUCGAAAUCUAGCCUCUGGUCGACGCACUCGUAGAUGUCGUCAGGAAGGGAGUCACCGGUACAGACUUGGUCGAGGUUUUCCUCGGUCGGCGCAUCCAACCACUUCAGGCCCGACACCACGCCAUGUGGCACUACACGGGGCCCGAAGACUCCACUCGGACCAACGUCGUGUGCGUGACCGGGGAGAUGGUGGCGUCGUGGGUGCUCCAGAUCACAGGUGCCUGUGAGAACCCCAGAGGGUCCCGGCGAGUGAGGGCUUUCUGCGCGGACAAUCCUCCUUCGAACCAGGUGAGUACAACUUGUCGAGUGCACAUAACUGUCUUAGUUUUAUCUCUUUCUUGAAUCUCUGUCUGGCGUCUGAUGUCGUCGACUGUAUUUUAUGCAGGUGGACCAACUGGUUCUCCCCUGUCUCGAACGGGAACCCGGCCGGGGAGGAGGAAGAGGACAGCCAGGAGGGCAGCGUGGAGAGUGUCGAGUACGUCUCCGACGGUGGGGAGAUGGAGGAGGAGUCUGGUGAGGAGGAGGAGGAAGACGAAGAGCAGGACUCGCCACCCUCGUCGCCAGAGCAUCGAACCAAGCGCCGACAUGAACCUGCAGCUCCCUCAGCCCCUCCAGCAUCCUCAAGUGCUCCGCCAACUGCUCCUACGGUUCCGAGUGCCCCGUCAACUGUCCCCAGGGUUCCGAGUGCUCGGAGCACCAAGAGGACCAGGGACGCUGCUGCUGAGCCUGCGGGUCAGCCUUCCAAGGUGGCCAAACCAAGCGGAUCUAAACCUCGGAAGGCUUUGCCGCGGAUGAGGGUCGCCGUUCCCGUCACCUCAACGUAAGUGCCUUGUUCUUCUAACUUCUUCUGAUAUUCGAUUGGACUCCUGUUUAUUGUUCGAAUGAAUUUCACUCGACAGAGUUUCUACCUCUGCCACCUCUCCGGCACGCCAGGGGGAUGAUCCCAUGGACGUGGACAAUGUCGUCUCGUCCCAGCCAGGUGCGUCGUAGCGAUUCCGAGAGUUUACAUUAUCGCAUCACGAAUUCUGUCUUCGGUCUUGCCCUUUUUCUUUCUGUGGUCUCACGCCAUUCGGUCGGGUUUCUCUCAGGGGCGAUUUAUGUGGAUGAGGGUGACCAGGGAAGGUCUGAGCAAGCUGCGGUGCCUGUCCUUGAGGCUGUUCCGCCAGUUACUGUUCUCACCGCGGACAUGCCGCCGACUGAGGCGAUGUCGUUGACUGAAACGGCGCUGGUUGCUGCCGAAUCGACUGGAGCGGGCCUUUGGAUGCCUAAGGAGCCUCCAAUGAUGCCAGGCCCGUAGAACGUCGAGUACAACGUCCAGCGCCUCCUAGAAGACCAGGUGGGAGCGGCCAAGGGGGCCAUGGUACAGGCGGAGCUAAUGGCGGGAGAAGCCAAGAAGGCGUACGACUCCAUCGCGUCCCUGUACCAGCGAAGCUUGGAACUGCGGGACGAUAUUCGAGUAAGUGGGCUAGUAAGUAUUUACUUUUCUCUUGUAACCCACUGGGUGUGCUCGGAUAUCGUAUGAUUUUUGCAAUGGGUUCACUCUUAGUGAACCCAGUGGGUGUAGUCCCCGAGACUUCUGUCGAGUGCUUGCACCGGCAGUUGUCUUUAUACACACUGUCUGUGACUUGAUCAGAUCACAAAUUAAUCUGUUGGAAUGUUAACAGUUGGUGCACUCGGAGUGCACCUAUUGGAUGAGUCUCCGAGAGUAAUUUUACUCAGGUCGGGUAGUAGUAGCCUCAUAGGCUUAGGUGUUAUCAUGUAUCUCAAUAGGGCGGACCUGUUUGAGUUUCAUGCCAGUGGAGUCACUCUCAGUGAACCCACUGGGUGUAGUCCCCGAGACCGCUGUUGACUGCUUGCGUCGUCAGGGGUCUGAAGAACUUAGACUUUUUAUUGUUGGAUUUGUCUGAUCGUCUCCUGGCGCUGGCUGGCAGAAAACUUGCGAGAUGGGGACGGCGUACGAGACUCUCAGGGCUGAAAAGGUUCAGUUUGCCGGUGAGCUAGAUGCGGCACUGGUUGCAAUGGCUGGUAUGAAGGAUGUUCUGGCGGAACGAGAGAAGUCCUUGGAGCAGGCCCGUGAAGCAAAAAAGGCAUUGACUGCUGAAGUGGAGAAAAUGAAGGCGCAUAGGUCCGAGCUGAUGGGGCAAAUGAAUGUGCUGAACAAGCGGUGUAUAGCACAGGAAAAUACGUCAGUGACUCGGCCCGGCAGAUGAUAACGCGUCUGGGUGGUAAGUCUUGUUUUUUCGAGUGCUUGUGGUAUGUGCAUUUCACUCGGCGCUUAUUGUUUGCUCGUCCUGUGUUUGUAGAUUUUUGCAUAGAUGUUGAGGCUGAAGCAGCUGACGUGGAGCGGUCGAUUCGUGAGAACAUUCCACUCGGCGAGGACGCCAAUCGAGAUCUGCUCCGAGCGCACAUUCGCGUGGGCAAAGUUGGGCCUUUCAUCGGUCGACUGAGAGAAGUCGUCGGCCGGAUCGACAAGGAGCUUUGGCCUGAGGACAAGUCUCGGCAUGAGAUGGAAGGCUUGAUGACUCGGCUGGAGGAGUGCAGUCAUGGAAGAAGUAUGCGUCUCGCUGUGGUGCGGACGUUGCUUUGUCUCUUGUCCGAGUGCAUUGCAAGGAGGUGCGCGAAGAGAAGCUGAAAGCGUUGCAGGUCGCCAACACGAAGAAACUUCGGUUCGAAGACUUCAUGGAAACCUUCCUUGAGAGCGCCACCCGCAUCGCCGACGGGAUCGAUCUGGACACAUUCGUAGAGCCCGCCAGUCCUAGCGCCAGUCCGGACGACGCUUAAGAAAACUUUUUACCUCGGUAUGCCGAGUGUUGGUUGUAAGAAACUUUGGCCACUGCUGUUGGCCGUCACAUUCUUGGCUCGGUGCGGGUAAGCUUGAUCCACACCGAGCCAACUAUCUUUAGGCGAACUUUGAAUUUGAAUCAAAUCUUUUGCUCUUCUGUUGCCAAAGAGUUGUUGAUACGAUUUUGGCUCGAGUUUUUGUUUGGCAUUUCUUGGUGAAGCCAAUGGCAAACAUGCGGAGCAUGUAAUUGUCAGUUGUCUUGACAUCUGCAUGAGCCUCCCUGAGGGUCUGCUGAUUCUCCGAGUGGAUCUGUAGGAUACACUCGAAGGCAAUAGAGUACUUAGGCGAUUCAUGAUCGCGGCUAAGUCUUCGAGUGCGAAUGUGAGGGCGCACUCGGAUUGAUUUGUUACUCAUGUAAUUGUCAGUGGUCUUGACAUCCACAUGAGCCUCAAUGAGGGUCUGCUACUCAUGUAAUUGUCAGUGGUCUUGACAUCCACAUGAGCCUCAAUGAGGGUCUACUGAGUCCCCGAGUGUAUCUGUAGGAUACAGUCGCAGGAAGCUUUCUCAUUGAAGCGAUUCUUUAUCGCAGUGAAGUCUUCGAGUGUGACGAGUAGUGCACGCUCGGAGAAAAUUUGUACUGAGGCGAUUCUUGAUCACAGCUCAGUCUCCGAGUGCGACGUUUAGUGAACACUCGGAGAAAGUUAUUACUUAGGCGAUUCUUGAUCGCAGCUAAGUCUCCGAGUGCGACGUGAAGUGCACACUCGGAGGAAGUCAGUACUUAGGCGAUUCUGGAUCGCAGCUAAGUUUUUUUUUUGAGACCGGAGUCUGCGACCGCGGAAGAAUUUUGAAUCUGCAAAAGCUCAAUCUGCUUUAUAUUAUUUUACCAAUAGUUGUUCUUUACAUUGCUUCAGUCGACGGUCACGUGUAGAAGCGCUUCAGUAGAUCUCCGUUCCAUGCUCGCGGUUCGUCUGUCUCCCUAUCGAUGUUGUAGAGUCUGUAUGCUCUGUUGUACAGCACCUUGGAGAUGAUGAAGGGUCCUUCCCAGGCAGGAGCCAACUUGUGAGGUCUUUGCCGAUCCACUCGGAGCACCAGGUCGCCUGCUUGGAAUGUGCGACUCCUGGCGUGUUGUGCGUGAAAACGCCGCAGAUCUUGUUGAUAAAUGGUUGAGCGAGUUAGUGCCAUCUCGCGCUCCUCCUCUAGAAGGUCCACUCCGUCUUGUCUUGCUUGUUCUGCUUCAGCUUCAGAGAAGAGUUCGACUCGUGGAGCAUUGUGAAGCAAGUCACUCGGAAGGACUGCUUGUGCUCCGUAAACGAGGAAGAACGGUGAUCACCCUGUAGAUCUGUUCGGGGUUGUGUGAAGACCCCAAAGAACUGAAGGUAGCUCGGUGACCCAUGCGCCAGCGGCAUGUCCCACCUCUCGCAGGAGUCGGGGCUUCAAACCUUGCAGAAUAAGUCCAUUCGCCCGCUCUGCUUGUCCGUUUGAUUGAGGAUGCACCACGGAUGCAAAAUCCACUCGGAUACCUUGGCUUGCACAGAAACCUUUGAAUCUGUCCGAGUCAAAGUUUGUCCCGUUGUCCGUGAUUAUGCUGUGAGGUACACCGAAUCUGGAGAUGAUGUCCCUGACAAACUUGAUGGUUGUUAGGGCGUCGAGCUUCUUGAUGGGCUCGGCUUCAAUCCAUUUUGUGAACUUGUCGACUGCCACCAACAGAUGUGUGUAUCCUCCUUGGCCUGUCCUGAAUGGACCGACUGUAUCUAAUCCCCAUACUGCAAACGGCCACACAAGAGGGAUUGUCUUCAACGCAGAUGUUGGCUUGUGGGACUUGUUGGAGUAGAACUAACAGCCUUCACAUUGGUCGACCAUAUCUUUAGCCAUUUCGUUUGCGUGCAGCCAGAAGAAACCAGCUCUGAAUGCUUUGGCGACGAUUGCUCUCGAAGAGGCGUGAUGACCGCAGGUUCCCGAGUGAAUUCUUCCAGGAUUAACUGUCCCUCCUCUGGGGAGAUGCAUCGUUGAAGAACGCAUGAAACGCUUUCCUCGUACAACUGGCCAUCAAUGACAGUGAACGACUUCGACCUGCGGACUAUCUGCCUGGCCUGGACUUCGUCUUCUGGUAAUUCCUGCCUCAGGAUAUAUGCAAUGAUCGGCACAGUCCAAUCGGGGAUGACAGCAAGAAUCUCCAUGAUCAGAUCAACAACAGUAGGUACAUCGACUUCAGUUGGAUCUGUCAAACUCUUUGGUUGUAUUGGUUCCUCUGUGAAAGGAUCUUCUUUGACUGAGGGAAGGUGGAGGUGCUCGAGGCAGACGUCACUCGGGACUGGUCUCCGAGUGGAUCCGAGUUUUGCCAACUCAUCAGCUGCUUGGUUCUUCAGUCGCGGAACAUGGUGGAGUUCUAGACCUUCAAACUUCUUCUCGAGCUUCCUCACUGCAUUGCAGUAUGUGGUCAUGGUGGGGUUCCUGACGUCCCACUCUUUCAUCACUUGAUUAACCACCAAAUCCGAAUCGCCAUAGACCAUCAGGCGACGGACGCCGAGUGCGAUGGCCAUGCACAGUCCAUAAAGGAGAGCUUCAUACUCUGCCUCAUUGUUGGAGGAAUCAAAGUGUAUCUGCAGCACAUAUUUGAGUUUGUCGCCCUUUGGCGAUACGAUCACAACGCCAGCGCCGGAGCCAUUCAACAUCUUGGACCCAUCGAAGAACAUUGUCCAAUGAGCCGAGUAGAUGUGGGUCGGUUGCUGUUGUUCUACCCAUUCUGCUAUGAAGUCAGCCAGGGCUUGAGACUUUAUAGCUUUCUUGGCUUCGAACUUGAUAUCGCAGUACAACAUCUCCAUUGCCCACUUCGCCACUCGGCCCGACGCGUCGCGAUUGUGGAGGAUUCCCGCCAACGGAGCAUCAGAAACGACAAACACCGAGUGGUCUUGGAAAUAAUGGGCCACCUUCUUCGCAAUCAUGUAAAUCCCGUAGAUAAGUUUUUGAUAGUGGGGAUACCUCUGCUUGGAAGGAGUCAGGACUUCGGAGACGUAAUACACUGGCUGCUGAACUUUGUAUGCUUUGCCUUCUUCUUCUCGUUCGACUGUAAGAACAGUGCUGACGACUUGAUUUGUAGCCGCGAUAUACAGAAGAAGGGGCUCUUUACUGAGCGGAGCAGUAAGAACCGGCUGGGUGGAAAGUAGGACUUUGAGGUCGUCGAAUGCGACUUGGGCUUCAUCUUUCCACUCGAAAGUAUCUGAUUUCUUCAUGAGUCGGUACAGAGGAAGUGCUUUCUCGCCGAGUCGACUGAUAAACCUGCUCAAACCGCUAGGCAACCUGUGAGUCGUUGAACAUCGUGUAUUCUGACCGGCCUCUCCAUGCGGACGAUGGUCCCGAUCUUUUCGGGGUUGACAUCGAUCCCUCGUUCGGAAACGAAGAAACCGAGUAACUUUCCGCUGGGAACGCCGAAUGAACACUUGGCGGGGUUGAGCUUGAUAUCGUACCUACGAAGGUUGGCGAAUGUUUCUGCCAAGUCGGUCAGCAGGUUGGAACCUUUGCGUGACUUGACUACGAUAUCAUCCAUAUAAGCCUCCAGAUUCCGACCGAUCUGGUCGAGGAGGCAUUUUUGGAUCAUGCGCAUAAAGGUAGCUCAUGCAUUCUUCAAACCGAAUGGCAUAGUGAUGUAGCAGAAGCACCCGAAUGGGGUGAUGAAGGCUGUUUUUAAUUCAUCGGGGCCAUACAGACGGAUCUGAUGAUAGCCCGAGUAGGCAUCAAGAAAUGACAAACGCUCGCAACCCGCAGUCGAAUCGACAAUUUGAUCGAUGCGGGGGAGCGGAAAAUGGUCUUUCGGGCAGACCUUAUUGAGAUGCUUGAAGUCGAUGCACAUUCUGAACGACUUGUCCUUCUUGGGCACCAUGACAACAUUGGCGAGCCACUCGGAGUGGUGAACCUCGCGAAUGAAGUUGGCUGCCAAAAGCUUGGCCACCUCUUCUGUGAUUCCCUUCCUCUUGUGCGCGGCGGACCGACGCAGGCGUUCUCGGACAGGCCGAGCGGUGGGAUCCACAUGCAGUCCGUGCUCAGCCAACUCCCUGGGUACACCUGGCAUGCCAGAGGGUUUCCAUGCAAAGAUGUCCCAGUUCUCACGGAGGAAUUGGGUGAGCUCGGCUUCCUAUUUAGGAUCGAGGGUGGUGGAGAUGUUCGUCGGGGCAGCAGUGUCGUCCGUCGGGUGGAUGCUGACCUUUUUCGUCUCUCCCGCCGACUGGAAUGCAGACUCCGGAGCUGGCUUCUUCGAAUGCAUCAAGUCAGCGGGGUCGACUGUUUUCUUGUACUCGUCAAGCUCGAGGACGGCCAUCUGCUGGUCGGCGAUUCUUGAUCCCUGCUGCAAACACUCUUCGGCCCGCUGUCGAUUGCCUGUGAUAGUGAUCACACCUUUCGGGCCUGGCAUCUUCAGCUUCAGGUAUACGUAACAUGGACGGGCCAUGAAACGCGCAUACGCCGGGCGGCCCAGAAUUGUGUGGUAAGCGCUCUGGAAGUCCACCACCUCGAACGUCAGCUUUUCCUUGCGGAAGUUCUUGUUGGAGCCGAAAACGACGUCCAACGCGAUCUGGCCGAGUGACUUGGCCUUCCAUCCAGGGACGACUCCAUGGAACUGCAUGCUUCUCUCACUGAGUUUGGACAUCGGAAUGCCCAUCCCCUUGAGAGUGUCGGCGUACAUGAUGUUCAAGCCACUGACACCGUCCAUGAGGACUUUGCGCAGUCAAACUCCUUCCACCACCGGGUCGACGACCAGAGCCUGUCUCCCUGGGGUGGGUACGUGUGCCGGAUGAUCCGACUGGUCAAAGGUGAUCGCAGUCUGAGACCAUUUGAGGAACUUGGGUUGGUAGGGGUGGCCAUGUUCACCUCCCUGUUCACCAGCUUCAGUCGACUCUUGCUCUCAACGUCAGCAAAAGUCAUCAGUGUUGCAUGGACUUGGGGGAACGGACCCUCCUUAUCCUCCUCGUCCUGUUCAUUGUCCUUUUCACUCGGUUGCCCUUCGCCGAACCCCUGGAUCAGGAGGCGACACUGUCGAGUGGUAUGCUUCGGAUAUAUGGGGUUGCCCUCUUCAUCCAUCUUCGUAUGAAUCGGACACGGCUGGUCCAGGAUGGGAUUAUUGAACUGCUUCUUCUUGGGGGUGAACUGAGCCUUCCCUUUGCCCUUGAACUUGGCGUUGCUUACAGCUGCAGCCUCUGCCUGCGGAGUGGACGGAGCUUUCUGCUUCUGCUUCCGAGUGUUGCUCCCAUCUCCAUCGGCGACUGUUUUGUGCUUGCCGCUUCGGAUGCGGUCCUCUUCUUCGCCAUUUGCAUAGCGUGCCGCUAUCUCCAUCAUCUUGCUCAUGGAGAUGUCGCCUGUUCGGCCAAACUUCAGGUACAGAUCCCUGUACCGCACGCCUACCUUGAAAGUGCAGAUUGCUUGAUGCUCUGUGACGUUCUCCACCGUGUGGUAGAGGGUUGUCCAACGCUGAAUGAAAUCACGCAGGGGCUCAUUCUCCUUCUGGACGCAAUGCUGGAGCUCCACGAGGCCAGCAGGGCGCUUGCACGUCCCUUCGAAGGUCCUGAUGAACACUCGGGCCAGGUCUGCCUAGCUGUAGAUGCUUGAGGGGGCCAACUGGUUCAGCCACGCUCGCGCCGAGCCGUCGAGCAUCAGAGGGAGGUGCUUCAUGGCGACAUGGUCGUCCCCUCCUCCGAUCUGGACUGCCACUCGGUAAUCAUCCAGCCACGUUUCUGGCUUGGACUCUCCUGUAAACUUGCUGAUUCCCGUUGCCAGUCGGAAGUUGGGAGGGAUGUCAGCCGAACGGAUGGCUCGACUGAAACACUCGGGACCAGAAACGAUGGUCCUGCUUCCACUCGGACGGUCAAUAUCGUAACCAUCGCGGUGGGCUCGGCCCCUGUCGACCCUCCGCUGGGCGAUAUGCCCUCUUGCGUCGGGUCUUGGGUCGUAAGUGUCACCGACUGAACGCCGAUCAUCAUGAUGUCGGGGCCCGUACGGCCCACCCCGCGGAGGGGUGCGUGAACGGCGACGAUCUUCGGGGUUUAUGGAACGGCUGUCUCCCCUGUGUCGCCGAUGAGAACCAGGGCUGUGAACUGACCGAUGCGUAUUCGCAUGAACAGAACUAUUGUGGAUCCUGUUGUGCGACUGAGAGACCGCCGAAUUUUGCUGUUGCGUCGUGUGCAACAGGGCACGGAUUUGCUCGAUCCCCCUGCCAGCCUCUGAAUCAGUCGGCUGAAGGGAAUUGGCAAUCUUGGCAGCCGCAGCCAAGUUGAGGAUGGGUGUGCGGAACGACUCCACAUUGCUCCGCCGAGUGUGCCGGCUGGCAGAACGGCGAGGCGGACGACGCGCGCCGGAUGUUUCGCCGAUCUCGUGCUCGUUCCGGCCAGCUUGACGGGGAUCUUCAUGGGAGUUGGCCAUGUGUACUUCUGCUGCAGGCCCGCGACCCGCGUACUCGGAAGGAAACUCAGUCGGAACCGAGUCCGAGCGCUGGGACGGAGGGGCAACCACAACCGACUCUAGGACCGCCACUUGUGAAGACGCGUUCUGGCGUGCCUGGGCGUGUCGCACCCAACGCUGGAGCCGCGGACGGCGGGACCGCUUGUUGCGGCGCGUGACGGCGGUGUAGGUCGACACCGGAGCCGACUGUUGGAGAAGAAGAAGAACGCCGCAGGCGCCGGCACGGAAGUGCGUAGCCCCGUGGCGGGAAAGCGCCUCGAUAUCGAGAGGAGCAUCCCGAAGCCAUGCUGAAUCGUCGAUGAUGAAGGAGAGAGCGCCGAAGAGGAUCUCGUGACCCAUGCUCGAAUCUCCACCGGACGACAUGACGAAACGAUGUAGUCGCAAACUCGCCGGAAGUCGCGUAGACGCCUGCCCCACGGUGGGCGCCAACUGUCGUGGGUAUAAGCCUGACAGUAUAUGUGUAGGGUACGAAAGGAUGGGCAGAGCCUUAGCUACGGCGAGGUUGUAUGAGUUCAGGCCCCUCUGCGGUGGAGGUAAUAGCCCUAUGUCUCAGUGCUCUGGGAGCUUGUUGUCGAGUGGAAUAUAGAAUACAGUGAAUUGCUAACCCCUGCACCAGUGGGGGAGGGUGGCUUAUAUAGAGUGCGCUGCCCUCCACAACGGUUCGGUGCACAGGGGUGGAGUAGUGGCGAAUAAAUGCCUACGUUACAGGUAACGUACGUCUUAAAUGCUAAUAAAGGCACGGGGAAACGUAUGACCGUUUCCCUCCAGGGGGGUUACGAUGCUCGGAGUGGAGUCCAGUCGGUUAGUUUGAUACGCUCCGAAUGCUAGUCUCCGACUGGAUGGUCGAAGACCUGUUACCGACUGGAUGAUGGCAACUCCUUAGUUCAGUCGGAACUGACUAAGGGCCUUGUCCCUUAUGAGGGGUAGUCCUUGGGUAGGACCUAUAGGGCAGGCCUAUGACCCUACCCUAGGACUAUAACCCCAUCAAAGAGAAAGUAAGGUACAGUGCUUUGGCAUUCUCUCUGUUCACAACGCUGAUCCCUCGAUCGUCUGAUCGAACGGGCUCAUAAACAUACAAUUAGUCUCCACUGAAUAUCCUGGUUUCAUGUUGUAUCGACGUGCUUGAUUAGGAACCUUAAUUAUUAGGCUAGACUAGUGCUACGUGUAUUUCUUAGUCAGUCAGUGACCUGAUUAAUCUAAACAUUUGGUGCAUGCAUAUGGUUGGCCAAAACCUAGGACUCUGAACGUCAGAGUACACACUACACGACUAGGACAUGUGGUUUACUUAGUAGACCAGUACUGCAUGCAUCAUUAUCUUUUGCUGUUUAAUUUGGCAGAAAUCACAGAAGCUUAUUUCAAUGGCGCAUGCAAAAAUCCAACGAAACGAUUGAAAACUUGAGUUGCGAGCUGAACGCUCAAUAAUAGAACGAUUUUCCUAUACGCUGCAACUAGCUUGGCUUAUUUCUAAAAAACAUUAUGUUCAUAUUCAGCCCCCAUUGAAAAUUGCCACUGUCCUAUAUUGUUGUCCAUGUAUUACAAUAUAACCGAUUAUUAGCUCAGAGUAGGCAGACCAAAUGGUUAUUAGCUCGAGGCACAAGCAAUCAUUCAGUAUGACAACCUAUCACAUGGUGUCAUCAUACUCUUGGCCGAUGACAAGAAGCAGGUCGAGGACCAGGACCAUCUUACCUUAAAGGAGCAGAGCAGGUCGAGAACGAAGAGGAGCAUCGACACUCUUCGUCGCUGAGGCUAAGCAAGCCCUUUCAUCUCUCCUCCUCGAGAAGGACAAGGCUACCAUAGUCGUUAUAAUACAUGGCUGCAAAGAAGAAGCAGAGUCAAAAUAAAAUGUUAUGACAAAUGAUAAAGAGGUAUUAAUUAAGUACAAACAAUAAAAACUCACAUGUCACAACAAUCAUACUACAAUCACACCUCAAAACUCACAAUAUUGUGAGUGGCCUAUUCUUCCCAGAUCCUGGCUUGUUUGCUGCAAGCACCUCUCCACCAACAUAUAACAACAGAGUUAAUAAAACUAUGUGUGAAGGAAUAAAGUCAAACAUUUUGAACGGAAGGUGUCAAGCAACUGCGGAUGCAUUAGUUACCUCGCGCAUUUUCUGCACUUCAUCAGGAAUACUGCAGUUUGCGGCAGAUUUGUCGAACAUUUCAAGUAUCCUGAAGGCUCGAUUCCUCGCAUCGUUCAUAUCUGAAGCAGACAAUAUCUCCUUGACAAUUAGCUCCGCCCAUUCAGUGUUGUUGGUUGGAGCAUUCAUCACCGGAACAUCACAUGCCACUGCGAUUAACAAUCAUUCUAGUGUUAGACAAUAUGCACACUGUAAGAUUCUUGUUUUGAGAAACUGCAUAUUGUAAGAUUAGUGUUGGUCUACAUAAGUUAUACAUCUUCGGACAUCAUUAUCAGAUAACAAGAGGAACAAGUAGUCAGGCUUAUUUUUCAGUCAUGCCAGCCAUACCUCCAGACGAGGAGGUACCAGCAUUGGUCGUUGCUGAAUCCGAUGCCAAAUAACCCUUGAAGCUUCUGAUGGCAGCAUCCAAGACAUUUCCCGACGCUUCGAGAUAGCCUCACAGAAGCUAAAAAUGCCCCCAAAAUUACUCAUCAGAAUGGUACGGAGCAAUACGGUACACAAGGAUCAGGGCCCUCAAGUCUACUGUUGUGACAUAACAUAAACCAAAGCUAUAUCAGGAUUUCAGAAAACCAUGGUAGAACUUCUGUGCACAAGAGAAACGGAUGUACGUACAUGCUAUUUGUUCUGACAUGUUUAGUUGAGACAUUUUAUUUCUGAAAUCCUAAAUUUAGCCAUCAUACACGCAUAGACAGGAAUCAUCCUCAUGGGAAGCGUUUGGCUCGCGCAAGAGGGGAAUAGUUGUGGACGAUUCUUCUGAACUUUUGAUUUACAAUUCCAUUAAUCUCUAAACUCUAGUCUAGUCUAAUUCAAGAAAUGGGAUAUGAAUCGGCAAAAGAAAAGAAAAAGGAAAUUCCCUGAUUUGUUGAAUUGUAAACCUUUUCAGCGAGUGAUGAUGAUAAACAAAACCAUUUUGCUGAAUCGUAAAAACAGGCAGUGAUGCUUAUCAGGUUGGUAACUUCCCACUGAUGAUGAUAAUAAGAUGGUAACAGUAAUUAGACACUGCAUCACAGCACAAACGAGGAAUCUUACUACCACAUAUCACAGGCUAAUUAUAAGAAACUAGCACAUCUCUACACCUUCAGAUCAAAAACUAGGAAUAGCCCCCCUAUCACCACGGAUGGCACAAAGGUGUGUCCCUGAAGAGGCCGACGAGGCAGGCCCCGGCGCCCUCCUGUAGCACGAAGACGGCAGAGCUCUGAAUAAUGCGGUUUUCACAGCAAAGUUGUGCAUUAAUUAAAGAGAAUAGAAUCAUAUAACCUUGGAACAAUAAGAAACGCAACGGCGGCAGUUGAGUUGAUGUUUGCUAGGUAUACUUCAGGAGUCAUCACUCAUCAACCAUAUCAUGGAGGGCUGAUUUGAAUGGUUAGUAGAGUAGUUUAGUCAAAACAAAAUUUCUGGAUGCACUCUCAUUAGAAAUGCAACAACCAAGUUACUCAACAAAAAGGAAUGAAUACUAAACUUCUGAUAAUUUCGACAAAUGCAAUGGUUCAGAAUAAGAGUAAGACAUACUGUGGGGCUCUAUGUCAAGAAGCCAGUGACCUACAGAUUUCAGAAACUUCCAUUGUUGCACUACCUAGCAAACAUCACGGAGGCAAGCCUACUAAUCAUGAGGUGGACCAAACUGAAAACUGAAAAUCCUAUCAAGUGCAUGGAUCACGCUAAGAAACUGUUGGUAGAUUUUUCAGAUUUACAAACACGUAGCUAAACAAGGGUAACAUCAUGGAGCACAAAAUUAAGAUCAGAUAUCAAACUUUCACAUGACUGAUGGUAACAAGACGGUAAUAAGGUCUCCCACACCAAACAUCCUUGAUAAACAGGAACAUCAACAAGCCCCAAACUGAAACUACUUCCAAAAGAAAUACCCAUCUAAUUCAGAUUCCUUAAAGGGAGGAACACCAGAACAUCAGUCGAUUUAGAGACGGCUCAGCUUAGAUCAUAUGUAGCACAAUAAUAUAUAUCUAAAAAAAGCGAGCAACCACAUUUUGUUUUCGUUCUAGAUUCAUUAGUACAGCCAACUACACCACAUAGCACGUAGCACUGUAGGAACCACAAGUCUGACCAAACUGAAUAUGAAUAGAAGGGCAUGGCAGGCAGCAGAUAAAUCUGAAACCACAUGUGUGCAUGAUAAAGUAAAAGACUGAUGAAAAGGAUUGCAUGCAUGAUUAACUAAACCACAAGUCACUGCAGGUCGUUGGCCCGGCAUGAGGUUCGGCGUUCGACUUUCCUGACAGAGAGCUGCUAUUGUACCCAUGGACAUGGAAUACUCCUCGUGCUGCUAAAUAACAAGAAGGUCUCAUCGCGUCCUGAAGCAGCACAUCACAACGAGUGUGGGGGAGGAAGGUCCAUGGCAUCCUCCUCCGAGGGCGACCUUGAUCUGUUGGAUUUGGGAGGGAGAGGAGAGGUGAGGAAGAACCUACUACAGAGAGAGGGGGAGGGAGGGAUGAUGGUGGUCAUACGAGAUCAGGUGUCAUCAUGUAUGGGCUCCUCCUAUGCUGCGUGCAAGGUCGACAUGGCACCGGGCUUGUCCUCCAUGGCGUCCUCCUUGACCACACGGGACAGGAUGCAAACAAGCAAACAAACAAAAAUGCACAAAACAAUCAGAUUUGAUCCAAAGUAGAAGCAAUCGAGGAGGACGAGCAAGGGAUGAUCCAUAACAGAUCGAUUCUGGUCGCCAUGGCUGGGAUCCUCCUACGCUUGUGCGGGCUAGGGUUUCAGUAUGUGCUGCUGGAAAGAAGGAUAGGGUGGGUCUUGGGGAGAGCAGGUCGGCACCGAUGCCGUGGCCGGCGGGAGGGAUGGGGGAGAGGAGAUCUACGACAGGGUUGGGUUGGGUUGCGGGAGGGGUGGGGGAGAGGAGAUCGGCGGCGGGGUUGGGUUGGGUUGCGGGAGGGAGGUGGAAGACACACAGGAGAGAGACUCGAGUUGGUAGGAGAGGGAGGAGGGUGUGUCAUGCGCUAGGUUUAUCGAGGAGAGGUGAUGAGACGUUGGAUCUGUAGGACAUGGACGGCUCAGAUCGCCUUUACUAGGGUGAUCUGUGGGCUCUAUUCUGAUUGGUUAGACAUGUGCCUUUAUAAACUUGUUUUUUAAGUGUUAAAAACAGAGGAGAUAUAUGAAGCAACUAUCAAAAACAUUUUGCAAAACGGCACCAUUAAUUUUUAGGUGCAUCUUGGAAUGGAAAACAAUGUUGCCUAAGAACGUUUUCAUUUUCAUUGGACGAAAAAGUCAUUUUCCAAUUUUUGACUGUCCAGAAUAAGUUUUUUUGUGAAGGGCCUAUCAUAUAUUUGUUGCAAAAUUGGAUCAAAUCAUUUUUAUAAAAUACUAGGUCAUAUUUAAUGCACAAUUGACCAAAUGAUUGGGUGUCAAAAGCUUUUAUCCACCUCUCGUGAAAAAGACAAAUUUCCGCCGAUUUAACUUGAAGCGAGUCAAAUUUGAACCGCAACUGUCUUAUAGUUUACUCUUUAUUUUUUCCAAAAAUAUUCUCUAGGUACAAAAGUAUCUAUUUAAUCAGAUAAACACCAAAAAAAUUCCAAGAUUCAACCACUAGAUAGGAACGGUCAUACCCGCUGUUUUGACCGUAUUUUGAAACACGCAUGAAAAAUUCAAAACCAAAUCAAAAAAUUGAAAAACCUUCGCAUUGUGCCAUUAAAUAUAACCAAGUUAUGAGGAAAAAUAAUAAACUUGUAAUACGAUAAUUAUUUAAAAAAAUGUUCUGAGAAAUGAGCUAUCAUGUGUGAAGACCACAAACCAGCCCAUUAGCAAGCAUGGAGGAUAAAAUACCAACCCAAUAUAAAAGUAAGAUGAAAAAAUAGCCCAACAGAAAGUGGUAUAAAAAACAGUUCAAUACAUGGAUGAGGUGGGAUAGAAUGAACCCACGAGUGACAUAUCAACAUAGUUAAAACAUGUAACGACAUUUUUAUAAUCGUCAUAAAAGUUAUGAUGAUCUCAUCUUAUGCGGUUACGACGUUUUUGACUCACAUCGUUGUAAUUUGUAUGUAGAUUUGAUCCCCUCAAAAGGUUUACGGCGAUCUCGGAUGAAAUCGUCAUAGAUAUAUGACGAAUUCAUCAACGACAUCUUAAAAAACGUCAUGUAUGAGCAUAUUUCUUGUAGAGGGAGGCAGCCCCACGCCUUAGGGUUUUAGCCCUAGGCGCAUUGGGCCCUUUUGGUGGCUCGCACCAGCCAACGAAGGAGCUGGUUCCCUCCCACUUUCGUCCCAUGUGGUCCUCCCGGGACAGGUGGACCCUCCGGUGGACCCCUGGUACCCUUUCGGUGGUCCCGGUACAAUACCGAUAAACCUCGAAACCUUUCCGGUGACCAAAACUGGACUUCUCAUAUAUAAAUCUUUACCUCUGGACUAUUUUGGAACUCCUCGUGACGUCCGGGAUCUCAUACGGGACUCCAAAAAACUUUUCGUAACCACAUAUACAAUUCCCAUUACAACUCUAGCGCCACCGAACCUUAAGUGUGUAGACCCUAUGGGUUCGGGGUUUGUGAAGUUGGUACUCAACAUGUAACCCCUAUUCCCUAUGUUAGGUUGUUUGUUAGGCCAUUAGGUAAAGUGUCGGAUCAAUUUCCCCAUUGCUCACUCAUACGUCUCCAACGUAUCUAUAAUUUUUGAUGGUUUCAUGUUAUUAUAUUGUCAAACUUUGGAUGUUUUGCGUGCCUUUUAUUUAUUUUUUGGGACUAACUUAUUAACUCAGCGCCAAGUGCCAAUUCCUGCUUUUUUCCAUGUUUUUCACCCCUUUCAGAGGAGAUUUUGAAACGGAAGAAAAUCCCCGAAAAGAUUUUUUUUGGAACGGAAGAAGAUUAGAGAACUUGGGAGGCAAGGCAGGGGAGCCCCAGGGGCCCCACAAGCCCCCACCCCGCGGCCAGGGGUGGUGCGCCAUCCAGGCUUGUGGGCCCCCUGGAGGACUAUAUAAUCCCAAAAAUUCCAGAAAAAAUCAGGAGAUCAUCGAAAGUACUUUUCCGCCGCCGCAAGCUUCUGUCUCCGCAGGAUCCCAUCUGGGGCGCGUUCUGGUGCCCUGCCGGAGGGGGGAUUCGGACACGGAGGGCUUCUUCAUCAACACCAUGACAUCUCCGAUGAUGCGUGAGUAGUUCACCAUAGACCUACGGGUCCAUAGCUAGUAACUAGAUGGCUUCUUCUCUCUCUUGGAUCUUCAAUACAAAGUUCUCCAUGAUCUUCAUGGAGAUCUAUCCGAUGUAAUCUUAUUUUGCGGUGUGUUUGUCGAGAUCCGAUGAAUUGUGGAUUUAUGAUCAGAUUAUCUAUGAAUCUUAUUUGAGUUUCUUCUGAUCUCUCUUAUGCAUGAUUUCAUAUCCUUGUAAUUCUCUUCGAGUUGCGGGUUUUGUCUGGCCAACUAGAUCUAUGAUUCUUGCAAUGGGAGAAGUGCUUGGUUUUGGGUUCAUACCGUGCGGUGACCUCACCCAGUGAUAGAAGGGGUAGCGAGGCACGUAUCGUGUUGUUGCCAUCAAGGGUAAAAAGAUGGGGUUUUCAUCAUUGGUUUGAGAUUAUCCCUCUACAUCAUGUCAUCUUGCUUAANNNNNNNNNNNNNNNUCUCCGAUGAUGCGUGAGUAGUUCACCAUAGACCUACGGGUCCAUAGCUAGUAACUAGAUGGCUUCUUCUCUCUCUUGGAUCUUCAAUACAAAGUUCUCCAUGAUCUUCAUGGAGAUCUAUCCGAUGUAAUCUUCUUUUGCGGUGUGUUUGUUGAGAUCCGAUGAAUUGUGGAUUUAUGAUCAUAUUAUCUAUGAAUCUUAUUUGAGUUUCUUCUGAUCUCUCUUAUGCAUGAUUUCAUAUCCUUGUAAUUCUCUUCGAGUUGUGGGUUUUGUCUGGCCAACUAGAUCUAUGAUUCUUGCAAUGGGAGAAGUGCUUGGUUUUGGGUUCAUACCAUGUGGUGACCUCACCCAGUAACAGAAGGGGUAGCGAGGCANNNNNNNNNNNNNNNNNNNNNNNNNNNNNNNNNNNNNNNNNNNNNNNNNNNNNNNNNNNNNNNNNNNNNNNNNNNNNNNNNNNNNNNNNNNNNNNNNNNNNNNNNNNNNNNNNNNNNNNNNNNNNNNNNNNNNNNNNNNNNNNNNNNNNNNNNNNNNNNNNNNNNNNNNNNNNNNNNNNNNNNNNNNNNNNNNNNNNNNNNNNNNNNNNNNNNCUUACACUUUUUACUUCGUUGCACUUUCCGCCUUCAGAUCUCACUUUGCAAACAAUCUUGAAGGGAUUGACAACCCCUUUGAAGCGUUGGGUGCAAGCUUGUUUGUGUUUGCGCAGGUACUUUGGACUUGACGAGGCCCUCCUUCUGGUUCGAUACCUUGGUUCUCAAACUGAGGGAAAUACUUACUGCUCCUGUGCUGCAUCACCCUUUCCUCUUCAAGGGAAAAACCGACGCAAACCAGAGAAGUAACAAGAAGAAUUCCUACGCGCCAGGGAAGGACUUUUGUUGCCGCAGCAGAAGAAUUUCUGGCUCCGUUGCCGGGGAGGAAGGUCAAGUCAAGGACUCAUCCAAGUAGGUGUCGCAAACUCAUCUCUUGCAUUUACUUUGUUUGCCAGUUGCCUCUCAUUUUCCUCUCCCCCACUUCACCAAAUUGCCUUUUUCGUUUGCCUUUCCUUUCCUUGUGUGCUAUGUUCCUUCAAAAUGCUUGCAUCUUUGCUUGCUAAGAAUCUAGUGAUAUGGAUGCUCAUCCACUUGCUAAUCUUUUCAAGAGGUCCAACUAUGUUGAACAAAUUGCUAGUGAGUUUUGUGCACUAGAUUAUCUUUAUGGAGUUUUGCUUGACAUGCGUGAAUCUGAAAAUUGUGAUGAGGAAAUUUAUGAAGUGAUUCACGAGGGCUCCUUGGAUGAAAAGCAUGAUUACAAUGGUUUCACUAUAAAUUCUAUUAGUGACAAUCAUGCUAAAAAUAUGCAAAACCCUAAGCUUGGGGAUGCUAGUUUUGCUAUGUCCUCUAUUGGUUGCAAUGAUCAUGAUUGGGGUGAUGAUCUUUCUUAUGAUCUUGAAAAUUUGUUUAAGCCUCUUGAUGAAUAUGAUGUUUGCAAUAUUAUUGAAAGUGGGUUUGGAGACGUCAUGACUUUAGUUGAUGAUAAUCCCACUAUUUUUGAAGAGCGUCAACUUUGCAUGCAUGUGGAUCAUGAAAAGAAUAUCCUACAUGAUAGUUACAUUGUUGAAUUUGAUUAUGAUCCCACAUGUGUUUGCUAUGAGAGAGGAAAAUAUUUUGCUAGAAACUUUCAUGUUACCAAAUUACCUCUCGUUAUGUUGAGAUUGCUAUUGUCUCUUUCUUCUUCCUUGCAUUUGGUAACUAUUGGUUGUCUUGCCAAUUUGUUUUCCUAUAAAAUGCCUAUGCAUAGGAAGUAUGUUAUACUUAGAUGUGAUUUUCACAUGCUUUAUGAUGCUCUCGUUGUUCUUCAACUCUUGUCUUUUGUGUGAGCAUCAUUGAUGCCUAGCUAAGGGCGUUAAACAAUAGCGCUUGUUGGGAGGCAACCCAGUGAAUUUAUCUUUUUCUUUCUGUUUUGUUGCGUCCACACUUUCAUAAUUCUGUUGUGAUUGUGUUUUUUGUGUUUCUUUUUGUGUUUGAGCCAAGCAAAACCUUUAUGACUAGUCUCGAUAAUGGUUGUUUGAUCCUGCUGGAAAAAGACAGAAACUUUUCGCUCACGAGAUGAUUUUUCAUUUUUAUUCAGAAAUAGAUUUUGAGUUGAUUCUUUUUGCUGCGGAUAUAUAUGCUUUUUUCCCAGGCCGUCGUAAAUUUUUCAGAUUUUUUGAGGUACCAGAAGUAUAUGAAGUAUACAGAUUGCUACAGACUUGUCUGUUUUUGACAAAUUAUGUUUUUGUUGAGUUGGUUGCUUGUUUUGAUGAAACUAUGGUUAGUAUCGGGGGGUACUAGCCACGGAAAAGUGAGAAUACAGUAGCCCAUCAUCAAUAUAGAUGGAAUUCAAGUUUGCUACAGUACCAAAAGAAGUGGUAGUUUGUUUUCUUGUACUAAUGUUAUCACAAGUUUCUGUUUAAGUUUUGUGUUGUGAAGUUUUCAAGUUUUGGGUGAUGUUCUCAUGGACAAAGAGAUAAGGAGUGGAAAGAGCUCAAGCUUGGGGAUGCCCAAGUCAUCCCAAGCCAAAUUCAAGGACACCAAAAAGCCUAAGCUUGGGGAUGCCCCGGGAAGGCCUCCCCUCUUUCGUCUUCAAUCCAUCGGUAACAUUACUUGGAGCUAUAUUCUUAUUCACCACAUGAUAUGUGUUUUGCUUGGAGCGUCUUGUAUCAUAGGAGUCUUUUCUUUUUGUUGUGUCACAAUCAUCCUUGUUGCACACCUUCUUGAGAGAGAGAGACAUGCACUCAUCGUGAUCUUGCUAGAAUGCUCUAGUGCUUCACUUAUAUCUUUUGAGCUAGAUACUUUUGCUCUAGUGCUUCACUUAUAUCUCUUGAGCUAGAUACUUUUGCUCUAGUGCUUCACUUAUAUCUUUUGAGAUAGAUACUUUUGCUCUUGUGCUUCACUUAUAUCUUUAGAGCACGGCGGUGCGUGAUUUGGUAGUUGGCUUAUGCUAUGGAAGUAGUCCCAAUUGUGCUAGGUACCCAAAGAGGAUGCAAAACCCUCCAUCUUCAUGUGCAUUGGGUAGAAAGAGAAGUUUCGAUUCCUAUCAAUUAGUUUUGAGACAUGGAUUCGGUAAUAUUAAGAGUUAUGUUAGUAGGGUGUUGUGAAUCUAGAGAUACUUGUGUUCGAGUUAGUGAUUCCCGUAGCAUGCACGUAUGGUGAACCGCUAUGUUAGGAAGUCGGAGCAUAAUUGAUCUAUUGAUUGUCAUCCUUUGUGUUGAGGUCGGGAUCGCGCGAUGGUUUACACCUACCAACCCUUCCCCUCGGAGUAUGCGUUUAGCACUUUGUUUCGAUUACUAAUAAAAACUUUCGCAACAAGUAUGUGAGUUCUUCAUGACUAAUGUGAGUCCAUGGUAUAUAUGCACUUUCACCUUCCACCUUUGCUAGCCUCUCUAGUGCCGCACAAUUCUCGCCGGUGCACAAGCCCACCAAAUUCCUUCCUCAAAACAGCCACCAUAUCUACCUACUAUGGCAUUUUCAUAGCCAUUCCGAGAUAUAUUGCCAUGCAACUACCACCGUUUCGUCUCAUGACUUAUGCUGUCACUCUCAUAUUGCCAUUGCAUGAUCAUAAGAUAGCUAGCAAGAUGUUUCAACGUCAUACGCCAUGCUAGAUCGUUGCACAUCCCGGUACACUACCGGAGGCAUUUCCUAUAGAGUCAUCACCAUUUUGAGCUGUGAGUAAAUAAAGGUGUGAUGAUCAUCCUUAUUAGAGCAUUUUCCCAUGUGAGGAAAUAAAAAAAAAGAGCCCAAAGAGCCCAAAAACAAAAAAAGGGAGAAAAGAAGAGAAAAAAAAGGGAGGCCUAAGAGCCCAAAUGAAAAAAAGAGAAAAAAGAGAAAAAAGAGAGAAGGGACAAUGCUACUAUCUUUUUCCACACUUGUGCUUCAUGUUAGCACCAUGUUCUUCAUGAUUGAGAGCUUCUUGCUUUGUCACUACCAUAUGCUAGUGUGAAUCUUCAUUUUAUAACUUGGCUUGUAUGUUCCAAUGAUGGGCUUCCUCAAAAUUUCCCUAGGUCUUCGUGAGCAAGCAAGUUGGAUGCACACCCACUAGUUUUCCUUUUGAGCUUUCACAUACUUAUAGCUCUAGUGCAUCUAUUGUAUGGCAAUCCCUACUCAUUCACAUUGAUAUCUAUUAAUCGGCAUCUCCAUAGCCUAUUGAUAUGCCGAGUCAGUGUGACCAUCUCCUCCUUUUUUGUCUCACAACCACCACCACACUCUAUUCCACCUAUAGUGUUAUAUCCAUGGCUCGCGCUCAUGUAUUGCGUGAUAGUUAUAAAAAGAUUGAGAAAGUAAGAGUGCGAAAACAAUUACUUGGCCAAUUCCGAGGUUGUUCAUGAUUUACAUUAGUUGUGUGAGGAUGAUGGAGCAUAGCCAGACUAUAUGAUUUUGUAGGGAUAACUUUCUUUGGCCUUGUCAUUUUGAAAGUUCAUGAUUACUUUGCUAGUUUGCUUGAAGUAUUACUGUUUUCAUGUCAAUAACAAACUAUUGUUUUGAAUCGUACGGAUCUGAACAUUCAUGUCACGUGAAAGAAGUCGCAGAGGACAACUAUGCUAGGUAGCAUUCCACAUCAAAAAUUCAUUCUUUGUCACUUCCCUACUCGAGGACGAGCAGGAGUUAAGCUUGGGGAUGCUUGAUACGUCUCCAACGUAUCUAUAAUUUUUGAUGGUUUCAUGCUAUUAUCUUGUCAAACUUUGGAUGUUUUGCAUGCCUUUUAUUUAUUUUUUGGGACUAACUUAUUAACUAAGUGCCAAGUGCGAGUUCCAGUUUUUUCCAUGUUUUUGACCCCUUUCAGAGGAGAUUUUGAAACGGAGUCCAAACGAAGGAAAAUCCCCGAAAAGAUUUUUUUGGAAUGGAAGAAGAUCGGAGAACUUGGGAGGCAAGGCAGGGGAGCCCCAGGGGCCCCACAAGCCCCCACCCCGCGGCUAGGGGGCGCCAUCCAAGCUUGUGGGCCCCCUAGAGCUCCCCUGACCUAGGUCUUUCGCCUAUAUAAUCCCAAAAAUUCCAGAAAAAAUCAGGAGAUCAUCGAAAGUACUUUUCCGCCGCCGCAAGCUUCUGUCUCCGCAAGAUCCCAUCUGGGGCACGUUCUGGUGCCCUGUCGGAGAGGGGAUUCGGACACGGUGGGCUUCUUCAUCAACACCAUGACCUCUCCGAUGAUGCGUGAGNNNNNNNNNNNNNNNNNNNNNNNNNNNNNNNNNNNNNNNNNNNNNNNNNNNNNNNNNNNNNNNNNNNNNNNNNNNNNNNNNNNNNNNNNNNNNNNNNNNNNNNNNNNNNNNNNNNNNNNNNNNNNNNNNNNNNNNNNNNNNNNNNNNNNNNNNNNNNNNNNNNNNNNNNNNNNNNNNNNNNNNNNNNNNNNNNNNNNNNNNNNNNNNNNNNNNNNNNNNNNNNNNNNNNNNNNNNNNNNNNNNNNNNNNNNNNNNNNNNNNNNNNNNNNNNNNNNNNNNNNNNNNNNNNNNNNNNNNNNNNNNNNNNNNNNNNNNNNNNNNNNNNNNNNNAACCAGAGAAGUAACAAGUAGAAUUCCUACGCGUCAGGGAAGGACUUUUGUUGCCGCGGCACUCACCACACCAUCGAUUUUGCCUAGGUAAUUAUGAAAGAAGAGAAGAAGAUGGUAGUUUUGCCUAUGGUUCAGGCAUGGCUCAUGUUGAUCCAUAAAAGAGAUGUUCGUCCUGGUGACAAGCAUGUCAUCCGUUAUGCUCCAAUGCUAGCUCGGGAUAAGGAGAGGAUAACGAAUCUAAACCACAUCUACAACAACAAUGACACAUAGGUUGUGUGGAUGCUAAGAAUGAUAAGAGCAUCUUUCACCAGGCUUGUGCAAAUCUUUAGAUUAGGGGCUGCUAUAAUAUAGCAUCCACACUGGUGUGGAAGAGCAAGUUGCUACGUUCCUCCAUGUUAUCGAACAUAGCCGGAGGUUUAGGAUUAUCCACAACACGACCAGGAGAUCAAUGGAUACCGUUUUCACGUACUUUAGGCAAGUGACGUAUGUUGUUGGGGAACUCAGAGAAAAUAUGACCAGGUCACCAACCGACCGGACUCCUAGUAAGAUACGCACUAGCCCAAGAUGGUAUCCAUAUUUCAUGGUGAGCACCGACAGUAUGUAGUUCAUUCCUGGACAUGCUUGUAUUGUUCUACUAUAUCGAUUACACCAUCUCUUCAUGCCAUUUUAGGAUUGCAUUGGGGCAAUAGAUGGUACUCAUCUCACUACUUGAGUUCGGUGUUAUAAUCUGCAACAUACAUGAGGAGAAAGCACCACACAAGCCAGAAUGUUCUUGUUGUUGUUGACUUUGAUCUGAAGUUUACAUAAUUGCUAGAUGGAUAGGAAGGAUCCGCACAUGCUGGUAACAUUCCAGCUGACAACAUGAGUACACCUGAUGACAUAAAUAUCCCCGAUGGAAUGUUCUACCUGGAAGAUACUAGCUAUGCAUGCCAGCCAGGUGUUCUUCCAUUCAGAAAAAUCAGGUACCAUCUAAACGAGUUCGCCGGUAGAAACUAUCCUAGGUCUCCACAAGAACUAUUUUAUCUUAGACGCUAUAGCCUUAGAGUUAUGGUUGAGUGGGCAUUUGGAGCUAUGAGGAAUAUUCUUAAGAUCCUGAAUCAAAAGUCAUUCCACACUUUUCCCAAACAUGUUAAGCUUAUUCUUACUUGUAGCAUUUUGCAUAACUGAAUCGUGUAAUGGGGUUGUGAUGACCUGACGUCGGAGGAGGAAGAGGUGACGCGUGAUGAUGUUGUCAGCUCUAACCAUGGUGUGGAGGCAUUUGACGAUGAAGCCUGAAAGAACAAAAAGAUGGAGUGUGCACAAGCAAUAUGAGAUAACACAGCUAAGACGAGGAUCUGAAGAAGAAGAGGAACAACAAGAACGGAAAAGAAGAAGCGACGACAAAAGAAGAAACAACGACGACAAAAUAAGAAUAAGGCAAGGAUGGACUUCCAACUAGUUCGGCAUCGGUGAACUAUCCCUGUUGAGUCAUUUGACUGUUUAUUUGUAAUGAUAUUUUCUAAUAGUUAGAACGAACUGUGAUUCCUUUUCUAAUUAGGACUGAAACUAUGUCCGGAUCGUACAUGAUAAGGUCAUCGCUAAUGAGAAGUGAUGAUAGCGCCUUAUACAGUUUGCAACCAAACGACUUAGUUUGUGCGUCCUAUGCAACGUAGACAACCAAACUAACAAGUAAAUAUUGUUUCCCUCACGUAGCCAAUCUUGAUGCAGACAAUCAAACUAUAUGCAGAUGAUCUCUAACACAGUCCCAUCUAAGAUGUAAAGAAAGAGAAAAAUGAUACAGUCAACCAAACACGCCAUAAACCAGGGCCCUCGCUCACAUCGUCGAGGUACCGGUGCUUGGCAUGCAGAUCCGACCUCGUACGAAUCGCAACACCCCGCUUGACCUGUUGGCUGCGCGCUGCUUGAGGUAAGGCCCUCGGGACGGGAGGGAGGGAGGAGGGGCCCAAAGCCUCUCGUCUCGUCUCGCACCACAAAAAGGAUCGCGUGUCUCGUACACCGUGGUUUUUAAUCACUCCCCUCCUUCCUUCUUUCCUGGAGCUGGAGCUCUUUACUCCACUCUCACUACUCACUCGUCACACGCCACUCGAUCCCAUUCCAUUCAGCGCACAAGCCCAGCAGCAGCAGCGGCAAUGACGCCGCGCGCGUCGUGAGACAGACCUACAUACAGGCGGUGUUGGCGCUCGCUGGCGGUGGGGGGGCGAUUAACCGGGCCAGUCUGCGCGCGGGCCAUGGCGGGCGGCCCGGCGAUGGCUCCUGCGGCGGCGUGGUGGCCAGGCGCGGGGGCGGGGGCGCAGGAGCACGAGGAGAUGCGGUGGCGGCAGCUGGAUGGCGGCGUCAGCGCGGUCUCCUUCGGCUUCGUCGCCACGGCCAUGCUCGUCUCCAUGUUCCUCGCCAUGGCCGUGCUCGAGCACUUCCUCCGCGCCCCGCCCAUGGGCCCGCCGGAGCCCUCGCCAUCGCCGCCCCGAGGCGGGGUCCUCCUCCGCCUCCUCCGCCGCCGCGGCGCCGGAGGCAGACCCCCCGGCGCGGAUCUCGAGGCGGCAGGGAAGCUCGACGCCGGACGCGCGUCCCCCGAGGUACCACUACGACGGCACUGCUCCCCCCGCACGCCCCGCCGCCGCCCCCAUUCCCCAUCCGCUCCCGCCUCCCCCCCGCUUUUCAUGAUUCCGUCGUCUCGCCCUUUUUUUACCCUUUCCGCGUCGCUUUUACUGCUCACCGUGCGUGUGGCUGUCUGUGUGCACUUGAGAGUUGAGGCCGACCCAGAUUGCGCAUCAUUUCGUUCCUCCACCACACUCGACUCCGCCAUGAUGCAUCGGCCAUGGCUAGGGCCAGGACCUAGGAGGGAAGCAUCAGAGGAGGAUGCCCAUUGCCCAAGCAGGGACCAAGAGAUUCCUGCCUCGAUUUUUAUGGUGGCUCAAGAAAGUAUCUUAAUAACAUACACAUCAAAGGAGCACAUUUUGAUCUGCAGCGCCGAACCAGAUCUUGCUGAUGUGGUUCAUCACUUGAUCACAGCUCAUCUUCGUCAGUAGUUCAUAGUAGCAGCGUAUCCAUCCAUUAUAGUCGAAGUGAUGUUAAGUUCGUCCAAACUCUGAAACAACUCAUUAAUUAGCUUGGUCGAGAUGUGUCCUACUGCUAGUACCUCAACCCCACAGGUCUCUGUUAAGCCACAACUCAUUUAAUUAGCCUGGUCGGGAUGCCCCACUGCUUCAACCCCACAGGUCUCUGUUAAGCCGUUAGCCACAUCGAUUUCUCCUGUCAUAUUAGCCCUACACAAGUACCAGCUGCAGCUGCUGUCUCAGCAGUUAAUCAUUCAUCAUUAUUUAGAUCGCUUUAUGCUAAGUGGCCACAUGGUGUUUUUUCAGGAAAAUGAGUUAAGAGUAGAUUGAUCACAGGGGUGGAUCUUCCUGAUGCAAUCGAUUUCUAUCCUUCUGUACUCUCUCUUGUGGAUAAGUUCAGUUGGCACCUUCAUAUGGCUUGUAGCAACAUUCUUGUCCAUUUUGUAUGGUGUGAUAUGUAGUGGUAGAAGACAAGGGGAGUUGCUAUUUAAGAUCAUGGGUUGUGGAAUUGAGAGGGGGGUUUGGCAGACAGUGUGGAACAGACAAGGCCCACCCCUGUCUGCACCUAACAACAAGGUCUAAAUCACAUUCUAGCUUCCAAUAUUUGUUCUCCAUCCAAAACUCAGACAGCCACAGCCUGCAGGCCCCAGAUGAUGUGGUCAUCAUUUGUUUGCUCGCUGUCAAAUGUGGAACCUCCUGUUACUAAGAUGGACCAGCAUCACAAUUUACUUUGAGCUUGUACUGUGCCCCAUCAUGGAAAUCAAGAAAGUCAGUUAAUUAAACACGGGAGGAGCGUUGAAGUACGGAGUAUAAAUGGUGCCCUUGUCUAAGAACUUGACUUAACCCUUAGAAACUUGAUGCUAGACUUCACACAAAAAUAAGGGGUUGUCUCUUGCUCGCUAGCUGGGCCGUACCAUGAGCUGCUCGCAGCCAUGCUCACAGGGUUCGCCUCAGUGGUGCAUGACUACGCGCAGCUCCUUUCCGUCGCUCCUGCUGGUCGGCAUACCCAGCAUACCCUUAGUUGUGCCGCCUGUUUGUUGUUCGCCGAGAGAUUGAGGGAGGCGUUAGGGGCUUAAUGAAUGAGCAUGCAAGGAGGAGUAUUUUUAUUAACUACUAGUAUAUUAUAAGUUUGAAAUAUUGAUUGGAGGAGUAUUUUUAGUAACUGUAGUAUAUUAUAAGUUUGAAAUAUUGAUUGGAGGAGUAUUUUUAGUAACUAGUAUGUUGGAAGGUAUUGUAAAAGGGAAUGAGGUUGAUUGAGCGCCGUCAAAAUAUGAAAUUCAGUAUUUUUCUGUAGUCUUUCUGAAAUCUGCCAAAUCACCUUUCUGCUAUGAUAUAGAAAAACAAAAUGAUAUAUCACCUGUUACCGACCCUGUCUAGCCAUCUAACGUGCCAAGUAUAAGCCACCACAUAUAAAAUUCAGUAUUUUUCUGUAGUCUUUCUGAAAUCUGCCAAAUCACCUUUCUGCUUCUUCCAUGUUUUCAUAGUGUGUUUGUCAAUAACAGCAUCGGGUAUUGAGCUUUGUUCCCAUUGUCUGCAAUGAACGUUAUCAUCCAGCUAUUAUGUUAUAUUUCAUUUCUCGAUGACAGGUCAUUCAUGGCCGUUACUGAAUCUAGACCAUCAGUCCCAGCUUCCAUCCAAGUUCAGAUAAAUUUCUGAUCAGUUCUUGGGUAGUAGGGGCUCCAGUUCCACCCAAUUCCAGGUUAUCAUUAUUCAGGUUGCAUACCAUAGUGGAUGUUGAUCCUGGCUCUAGGACCUGCUCGAGAUGACCCUGGAACCAAGUAGCAAAGGUGUCUUGAUGGCAGAUUGGCAGCCACACCUCAGGGGGAGGAGGAGAAAAAUGGAAAAAUAUAGUAUAGUACUCCCUCCGAUCGAAAUUAAUUGAUGCAGCUCUAGUGCAACUUUGUACUGAAGUUGUACUAAAGCUGCCUCAAUUAAUUUGGAUCAGAGGGAGUACUACGUUUUUUUCUGCUUAAUCCAACCAAAAGAAGUGCCAAUCCUUAUAUCGGAGGUGCUUGCCCCUAACACAAGUAACUAAUCUUACCUUUCCUAACUUAUACAAAUAUAAAGAAAACAAACUUUGGGGAGAUGAACCUUUGUAGCUGCGGUGCAAAUGAAAUUCCCUUUAUUUUAUUUUCCAGAUUUAAUUGUAGUCAGAUACACACUCUAAAGCAAUAGCAGUAUGCUAGAACAGGCAUCUGGUAGACGUAGCAUCGAUAACUCAUCUUAUGCACAGUUGUUCCACCAUCUAUGGACCUAUUUACCCGAAUAUUGACAUACCAUACAUCCAAUGAUUUUUCAUCAUCUGUUUCAGUUUUGCAGUUGGGUUGGGUUAAUUUGAUUCGAUUGGUUCUUGGGGAUGUUAUGGCAUCUUGUUUUUUGUGUUGAUAUUCAUUCUGCUUCCCUUCUCACAAUCAUAUGAAAAUAAAAAAUACAACUGAUUAUGAAAGCAAAACAUCCCUCCUAUUUCUGACUACAUACACAUUCUUACUGAUUACUUGGCUUAUAUGUGGCUUUGCAGAUGCCUGUCUAUUCCAAAGGGGUAUCCGUCCUGAUGCCGGGACAGGACGUGCCGACGUUCAUCGCGCAUCCCGCGCCUACGCCCUGCCCCCCGGAGAGGGUCCGAUGGCCAUCGCACCAGCCCGCUCCGUUCGCCGGUUCCUCAUCAAAUCCAAGCUAGCGCGUGGCUGCCGGACCGAGCACCGAGCACCCUUCUGUCUGUCUCACCAUCCAAGGGAAGGGGUAAAAUGCCGGCGGAAUGGCGGCGGUCCACAGGAGCACACCUCUGGUUUCUUCUGUGGCCAUGUCACCUCCGGCGCCUUGGUGGAACUGAAGAGGUUCUCUCCAUGCGUUGUACAGUUUAGAUGUCUGUUGCGGAGCAAGUUUUGGUAGCUCCUGCUGCCUGCCUGUAUUAUGGCGGGAGAAGAGCGGCUAGCCUGGUGGAUCAAUGGAAUUGUUGCCGAUCCCGCUUGCUCGGCUAGUGGUGUUUAGAUGCUUUCGUUGUCGUUGGUUAUAGAGUCGGUCGUAGAUGUGCGUCAUGGAUGGAUGUACUUGUACACGUCUUGUGUAAUUUCGUUGCAUAAAUGACUUGAGCCUAUUGGAGCUGAGCCCCCAUCAGCCUCGUAUCGUAUCAUUGCGCAGAAAAGGAAAAAAAGCCUCGUAUUUGCCAAGCUCGUGGUCACAAAUUACAUAGAGUAGUAUUUAAGUUUUUUUAAUAAACUAGCACAAAUGCCCGUGCGUUGCAACGGAAGACAUUGUUACAUGUCUUAUGACUACAGCUAUUUUUCUCUUUUCUCGUCUCAGUUUGUCAAACGUACAUGUGUUACAAUUGAAUAAAAAAAAUUCUUUAGAUUCCUACUGUUUCCGUAUAUGCUUUUUGAGGAGAAAAAAUGGCCAGCUUGAUUUAUGAAGCAAGUUAAAUACCUCAACAGGUUAUUAACACCUUUUAUUAUGCUCACCAAUGUUUCAUAUAUUUUCAUUUUAAUUACUCACUCCGUUUUUAAAUUUGUGCGCCAUAUAUUUAAAUUUGUGCGUGAAAUAACAGCCCUUAAAAGCGCCCCUCACAGUUCUGUGUUUUACUAAUGUAAAAAAUAUGCUCAAUAGAGAAAAUAACAAAAUAAGCUUAUGUGGGAUCGAAUCGAUGACUAUGGGUUAAAAGCGUUGAGCUCUAGCCAUUUGAACUACUAAUAUGCUAAUGGUAAAUUUGUAGUCCGCUGGUUAAUAACCAUAGUAAAGCGUAGCCACUUUACAAAGGAAAAACGAAACGUUUGGUUAAUUACACUUUAUUUAUUUAUUUAAUUAUUCUUAUUUGUUUUUUUUCCUUCGUAGGUUUUAUUGGUUCUUUAUUACACUUUAUUUUUUGUAUGUUUCUUAGUUUUGUUGGUUUUUCUUGUUUUUGCACUGGUAUUCCUCGGGUUAAUCACUGAAUUUUUUAUUUUUACCGGUUUUGUGUUUCUUUGUCAGUUUUUAUUUAUUUCCUUUCUUCUUAUUUAUCUUCAGUUUUUAUUUCGUACAUUUUUGGUUUUCAAUGAUUUUUUUUUCCUUAUUACUUUAUUUUUUCUCUGUUUUCACUAUUUUUUAUUAUUGCUAUGUUUAUCAUUUGAAAACAUAAUUCAAUAAACCAAGGAAGAGACAAUCAACAUAUAUAUAGAAGCAUCUCAAGAAAAAGAUAUGUCCACCAAUAAAUAAUUGAAUCUCAUUUGUGAAAUACUGACAGCAAAUGUAGAAUACUGAUAGUUGGCACUUCAUAUGACAAUGAGAAAAUAAACCACUCCUAUAAACUCUUUUGUUCUCGUUAUUAUUCACAUGCUUAGCUAAUGUUCAGGUUUUUAGGAUAAAUCAUAAAUAACCAUAACCAUGAUAACAGUCAAGCUUAUCGGGUUUAUUCCGCCUACCCUAUGAGAUAAAGGCAAAAAAAUGGAACAUGUUCUGUGGAUCUGUGCACAUCAAACUUUGCAAUGUGUGGUACAUAAAGGACAAUUUAGAAUAUACAUAUAUCCUGAUACCUAAUUGUUACUUGCUUUCUCAUCUCCCAUGUGCACUCUACAUAACAUAUGCAUACAUUACAGGCUUCAAGCGUUCAUGAAUUUCUUCAGCAAAUUUAACAUUAUCACAGAGUAAGUCAAACUUGUGACCCAGCAUGCUAAGGGAAACAAAUUCUAAUAGCAAACAGUGAAACUCCCCAAAACUGUCAGAUUGCUGAAAUAUAUCUCUAUUUCCUGUGCUGGUUAAUCUUCGGAUUCUGACUCACCCUUGCAUUCCUCGCAUAGACAGGUCAUAUCCUCCUUUAAUAUUCAAGUCUAAUAAGAGCAGGUCCUCAAUUUUCAGGGUGCAUUUGGCAUUCUUCGCCUCCUGACUUCGUACACGGUAGAGCUGAAAAUCCAAAUUAUUAUCAUGAAGAUUGUCAUCAGAUAUAGCUUUCACCGGCUGUUCAGUGCUUUCUUCAUACACAUGUGUUCCAUUGUCUGACAAGCCCGGAAGGGCUAGGUUAAAGUCUGUAAGCUGUGAUCUAGCAUUUUCUAGGCCAGCAGAUCCAUUUGCAUCAAAGGAAAUGUUUUCUUGAGCUUUCUCUAGUAUUUCCUUUAAAUAUCUCACUUGAGCCUCUAUUCGCAUCUGCAGCUUCUUCUGCACCUGAUCACAGAAAUAAGCAUUUUUUUAGGCUGAUACAAGCAUUUUUAACCUAUAUGGUACAGAAUUUGGUAGUAUAAGCAGUGAUGCACAACUUUUCUAACCUCAAGUUGUUCACACAAUUCUCUUUGGACCUGGAUUUGAUACCUGAGGGUGUCCUCAAGCGGCAUUUAUCUGAUUCAUAUAAGAAAUGUUUUGAAAAUGGUUAGUUAAAUCAUCAUACAGUCUCAACUGAUGAAAAAGGCACAUAGAAGACAUAUGACAGUAAGUAAUCAGUAGGAUUCCCUCUUUGUGACUCUAUAUAAGGAACUUUGCAUAUAUACUUAUGGAAGGGCAAAAUUAAUCACAACCAAGAAAAGCUAGUGAUUGCUACUAACUUGUACAACUACUAAAGAUCUCACUUUUCAGUUAUACAUGAGUAUCUCUAAUACCAAUGCUGGUUUAAGUUCUGUCCUGCAGGCAAAAACAAUAGUGCUUGAUUUCUAUAUAUGCCUGGUGAUCAUUGAGGAUUUAGCUCUAGCACAUGAUGCCUUAGCGCAUGGUUAGUCUCAAAUUUAAGUUGACAGCUUGAUUGCCCAACACAAAACAAAGAACCGUACUGCACUGUCGACGGCAAAAAUUAGUCGACCUUUUUCUUUAAAAUUAUGCUUUGAACAGUACUACAAAAUCAUUGGAGGGACAGGAAAACAGAGUAUGUAGUACUCAUCUAAUCCCUUAAGUGUUCAGAUUCAUAAGUAAAUCGCCUUAGUUCAGUCCAGGGAAAACUUACAAGAUAAUUCAACAUCAUUUGUCUUUUUACGUAGACACAAUUUAGUAGAUUAAUUGCCUUCAGUAUUUUGCGUCAAACAAUGUUAAGCAGUAAUAACGUAGUAGUAUAAGCAUCAUGCAACCAGAAUCAAAUGGAGAACAGAUGAGAAGGAAAUAGAAACUCACCAGUCGAGUCCAUGUCGUAAACCUUGACAUCCAUGCGUUCAACCGCUUCGCCAGAUGAUCAUACCUCCCACUUCCAAAUCGAUACACCAAACCAUCAGCUACCGGCGACAUGAUUUACUGUAAUUUUUGAGUAAGCAACAGAGAAGAAGGGGAUCAAAUUCUCAGCACGACGGCGGCCUUGGCCUUCUUCCCAGAGGAAGACGCCGAGACGGCGUCCGCGAUGGCGGCCGAGUCCACCUGGGGCGCGCGCCAUCGGAAGGGCAGGAGCAGGAGCAGGAACAGGAGCAUCGGCUGGAGCACGGUGAGGAUCCGACGCAGCGCGAGCAGCGACAGCAGCGCGCUGAUCCUGCCCGCCGCGUCCGCCGCCUGCAUGCUCCCGGCCAUCCCUCUGCUCUGCCCCUCCUCCGUUAGGUCCAGGAGCGCUGGCGAGGCUGGCGAGGUCAACGGGGUGAGGCGACGCUGGCGAUAUGGAUCCCCGAUCCAGAUCGGGUCGGCGAGGCGGCGACGCGAUGCAGGGUCCAGCGCGGGAUGAUGACUGCUCUUGUGGCCGGAUCUGGCGAAGAACGACGAUGAGCGGCGGAGGUCCAUGGCCAUGGCGGUCCUGCGGAACAGGGGAAGAGAGACCUCAGAUGAGAGAGAGGGAACGGGAGAAAGGAGAAGGAAGGCGCGGCGCGGGCUGCCAUGGUCGGGAUCCGGGCGGAGGAGCUGUCGGUGCUCCGGCGGCGGCAGAGCUCCAAUGAACGCCCACCGGAGGCGGUAUCGGGUGUGCGGCUUCGGGAGGAAGGAGAAGGAGCUCAGGGGCUGGCGGCGGCGGCGGAGGGCUUUUUUACAAAAAAACAAAACGUUUUCUUCCACUUACUAUAGGAUUGCGGGUUGAUUUCAAUAAGCCUCAGGGGCUUUUUUUGCAGAAAAACCAUGACGGACGACAGAAGUGCUGCGCGCUUUAUUAUUAGGGGAGAUACAUGGUCUACAUAUCUCUACAAUUAAAGGGGGAUCUGCCGUCGUGAUAGUUCGACCUUCCUUCCCCGUCGUACGAGUUCCCCUCCCACCUAUCGAUCCCCCGACGCGAUUGCAUCGUUAACUUCUUUUUUGUUUACCGCGACCCACCCACGAUCCCGCACGUCCUCUGUGAAUCCACCCCACAACCGCACACCCGCACGCGUCCCGGAUCCCGCCCCCGCUCCAUCGCGCCCAUGCGCCGUCACCUCUCUUGCGCCACCGCGCCCGCUCCCGGCCAUCACGCCCGUACGCCGCCACCUCUCCCGCACCACUACGCCCUAGCCCUGCUCGACACUCCCGUAUCCGCCCCCGCCGCCCCGCCCCGUCGCUCAUCCCUCGUCGUCCGCCACGUCGCUGAGCCCCCGCCGGGCCGUCCCGCCGCUCAUCCCUUACCGGCCGCCCCGUCACUCCUCCUCCGCUCGUGCCACCGUACUCGCGCCGCAUCAUCGCUUUCGUGCUCAUUCCAUGUAAUGCCCCAAGUUUAACCUUGUCAUAUUUGGAACCUUCCANNNNNNNNNNNNNNNNNNNNNNNNNNNNNNNNNNNNNNNNNNNNNNNNNNNNNNNNNNNNNNNNNNNNNNNNNNNNNNNNNNNNNNNNNNNNNNNNNNNNNNNNNNNNNNNNNNNNNNNNNNNNNNNNNNNNNNNNNNNNNNNNNNNNNNNNNNNNNNNNNNNNNNNNNNNNNNNNNNNNNNNNNNNNNNNNNNNNNNNNNNNNNNNNNNNNNNNNNNNNNNNNNNNNNNNNNNNNNNNNNNNNNNNNNNNNNNNNNNNNNNNNNNNNNNNNNNNNNNNNNNNNNNNNNNNNNNNNNNNNNNNNNNNNNNNNNNNNNNNNNNNNNNNNNNNNNNNNNNNNNNNNNNNNNNNNNNNNNNNNNNNNNNNNNNNNNNNNNNNNNNNNNNNNNNNNNNNNNNNNNNNNNNNNNNNNNNNNNNNNAAGUGGUGUGCAAAGCUUGGGUUUAACUAUGUAGUUUUUCAAACUAGAGUUCAAAGGAAGCCCCCUUCUUCCUUAUUUUCUUGAGCUCAAGAUUUACUUGCUCUGAACCUGAUUUUCAAAUGUAGAUCUAUUAGAGCAUUUUCUUGUGGAUGUGGCGAUGUGUCUAGGCCAUUUUAAAAAAGCUUUGCUUAAAUGGGGUUNUGGGUUCGAGUCCCAGAGGCGCCCUUUUGCUAUUUCCUUGUUUUUGUGGUGGAGUAUCUUGACAGGAGUUGAUACCCUGCAUGUUUCCCCUUCCCUGUCGAAGUGGAGCGGCUAGCCCAGUGGUGGGGUGUUGGUUGUGCAUCAGUUAGGUCUUGGGUUCGAUUCCAAGCACCCCCUCCCCCUUUUAAUUUUAUUUUUCCUUUUGCUGUUUUCAAGUAUGCUUGCAAUGUUCAUUGCUUGGGCAGCAAGCUAGUGCUCCCUUUUAGCUAGUGUGUGUGUAUGUGAGUAUAAACAUGUGUAUUUAUGUGUGAGGGCAAGUUCUUGCAUGGUGUGUGUGUAGUUGAAGCAUGUGUAGGUGGGUGUUGUGUGUAUGUGUGCAUGGGAGCAUAUGCACUAGUGUGUGCAUGUGUGUUUGUGUGUGGGUUACCCCCACAUAUUUGUGCAAGUGUGCACCAAGACAUGUAUGUGUGUGUGUGUGUGUGUGUGUGCAAGUGCUUGUGCAUGCACUUGUGUGUGUAGUGGUAGUGUAUGUGUGUAAUGCCCCAAGUGUAGGACUUUCCCUUCUUGUAACCUUCCAUGUGGGGCCACCUUGUCAGAGAUCUUGAUGAUAUCUUUUGUGCCAUGAAUUCAUGUGUGUUCCCUAGUGCUUACUUCCCUUGCAUGCAUGAAUUACAUAUCAUUCCUUGCCAUACUUAUGAUUGCAUGCCAUGAUCAUGUUGCAUUUGAGUUUAAUAGGAGUAGUGUUGUGGUGUUGUGAGUGCAUGUGAUCUUGCUAGGAUUAAGUGGUGGUUUUGCACUACCUUGUGAUGCAUGUGAUAAUGGUGUGUGUGAUGUAGGAGUGAGUGCUAGUCUUUUAAAGCUCUUGCCUUUUAAACUCCUUUUCCCUCCUAUUUUUAUUCUUGUCAAAAUUCCUUCUUCCCAAAGAUGAUUCUAAAAUGUCUAGUGGUUAGAUAAAAUGUGCUUAUGAGGGAGUGCAAUUUUUCUGAUUUGAAUCUUUGAUUUAAGUGGUGCAAAUAAACUCAAAACAGUAGCUUAAUUACUGUUUUGCAUUUAUUUCAAACAUCUCCAAAUAUUGCUUGUCUAUUUUUCCCUAUUGGGCCAUUAUUUCUUAGGUCUAGCGGGAUUUUCCUUUUAUUUUUUAACCCAGUAGUUAUUUUGGGUAAUAUAUUUUUCUUUCCUUCCCUGGGUGCAUUUGUUUCUCUGUUCACCUAAUUGGAUAACUUCCUGGGUAUCUAAUUCUUUCCCUGGCCCAUUAAGCCUUCUCCCGUGCUGGCCCAGUUGGACUCCACCCCUGGCGACAGAGCCCACUGGCGAGCGUUUCCUUCUUCCUCCCGACGUCACUCCUGUACGACGUGCGCUCCACCUCUCGAUCACUCUCUCCUUGAUCCAGCGGCUCGAGCUCGCCUCCCGAGACGUUAAAGAGGAGCCCGGGACCCCCUCCUCCGCCCUAGGGUUCCCUCUCCGUUUUCCCCCAGCGCCGCCAGUGUCCUCCUGCCCUCGUUCUUCCCUGGUAAGUUUCAGAGAGGAAGCAGAGAGAGAGAGAGAGUGCAACGCCUCCUUCGUCAACCCGCCGAUCCGUCGUCUCCGGCACCGGCCGCCAUGGGAGUCUCCUUCCCUGCUUCGGUCUACGUCGGAGGAGCUUCUUCGGCGUCCUCCUCCCCGUUCGGCGCCCCAUCUUCUCCCAAGGUGAGGCCGCGUCCUCCCCGUCCUUCCUCCGCCGCGGACCGGCUCGGUCCCGUCGGGCGCAUGCUUCCUCUGUUAGUAGCAGCAGCAGGUUAGAGGAGCAGUAGCGGCUGUUCUGUGCCGAGUUUGUGCGUGCGUUGUCGAGAGGAGAGGCAAGGCGUAGUGGUGUAGCAGGGUGUUGGUAGCAGUUCGACGCGUAGUAGCAGCAGCAGCAGCCGGCAGUAGGCGCUAGCAGUAGCAGCAGCAGCUAGCCGGUGCAACUUAUCAGCUGCAGCGGCAGAGCACACUGCUGCGUUCCGGGCAGCCAAAGGAGGGACCUUUUCCCGUGCUCAGGGUGGGAAUGGAUCCCCUGAGAGUCCCGCGGGCCCCGCCGAUGGUUUCCCCUGCCGGUGGUGGCCGGGAGUGGCGCCGCCAGCGUCCUCGGGUCCGGCCGCCGGCAGAGCUCAUCUCGUGAGUGGAGUGGGUUUUACUUUUUACCUUCUCGUCUUAGCCAGUCUCCGGUCCGUAGCCCGAUGGUAGUGUUGCUCUGUCUUGUGCUUGCGCCUGAUGAGAGGUCCAGGGUUCGAGUCCCCCCCUCGGCGCCCUUUUGAUAUUUUGUUUUGAUUUAUGUUGCGGGUAGAUUACCUUGCCUUUUUCCCUUCUCCUGUUAACAUCAGUAACAGCAGCGCAGUGGUAGAUGUGUGUUUGUGUUAUCGUCAGGUGCAGGGUUCGAAUCCCAUGCGUUGCACCCCCCUUUUUAUCUUGCCUGUUUCCUUUCUGAUUUGCAGUAGGGCAGCACAACAGAGUUUAACCUCUGUUUGGGUCCUUCUCUGUCGAGCCCCAUGGGCAUAGCAGAGUGGGUGGGUGCAGUAGAGAGCAUCAGCAGGUUCAGGGUUCAAAUCCUGACCCCUCUUGCUAUUGUGUUCUUUCCCUGUUGUUUUUUUUCUUCUGCUACAUUUUUUUUAAAACACCCUUCUUACUAUUGCCGAUCUUGUGCCUACCAAAGGUGGCCAUGGAAUUAUGUUUUUUUUUCCUUGCUGUUAUAGUUGUGCUAGGUGAUGUAGUGUGUGUGGUUGUGCUUGUGAGAGAUGUGCAUGUGAGUGUGUUUUCCUUGUGCUUGGAGUGGGCUCUUGCACCAUGUGGGGCUAGUAGAUUGUGAUGUGUGUGCAUUAGCUUGUGGUAGCUCUAGUAUAGAUAUGUGUGUGAGAGCCUCACCCAUGGCAAGGCAUGAAGAGCAUUGAUGUGCUCAUGAGUAGUAGUGUGUGGUGGUGUUGGAUUCAUUUAGGGAGUGUAGCUAUUGUAUGCUCUAACUAGUUCUAGUAGGACUAGAUUUGUGUCAUGCUAGAUAUGUGGGUGGUGUGGACCUCCCCACCUUUACAAGUGGUGCACCUCCUCAUGUUUAAUAUGAGAGAGGGCAUAUUGUGUGUGUGGGGUUGGCUCAUGUGUGUUGGUGUUGUUGAUGUGCAUGACACAAACAUGGGGUUCAAACCCCCAUGUCACUUUGUCAUUGUGCACAUGAAACCCUCCUAUGUAUUGUCAUCUUAGAAGAAUACCUUAUGGAUUUGCAUUUUUAUUUUGUUGAAAGUUUGGGCUUUGUUUCCAUGAUAUAGAUGGAGCCCAAAGGCAUGGAUCUUGGUGUGUUAGUUGUAGGGGUUUGCGCUCAAUACCAUAGUGGUGUCAAACACCUCUUGGGAACUUGUGUGUGCAAACUAUGCCUAGACAAAGUGGGCAUGUGGUUGGGAAAUUCCAGAUUUUUGAACUCUGAAAAUUUCACUAAGUCUGGAAUGCUGAAAACAUUUUCUUCCCCUGUAGAUAAGGUUUUUCUGGUCAUUAUGUUGAGAACUGGACUUAGUUCAGUGCUAGUCUUUUGAACCUGGGGUGUUUGUGAAGCUUCCUGUCAAUUUUCAAGUCAUUUGGAGUCCAGUAGCUUGUGUUUUGAUUGCUGUAAAAAAGCUUCAGAACAGAAACAGAAACUCAGGUGCAGGAAUUUUCACUAAGUCCCUGAGAACUGAUGGUUUUGGGAAAGUUUGUGGCCUUGUAUCUUCUAGAGUUUAAUUCCUUUUGCUGUGAUUCUUGCUGGAGCUUGUAGUGUUCUUGGUUGGAAACAGCCACAUAUAUUAUUUGUCGUAUUUGAAGACCUGUAGCUAUGUUGCAUGUGGCUCACAAACAGCUAAGAUGCAGAAACUGGCAGAUUGCGUAGUUUUGACAUUUUGUUCAAAGUUUGUGUUUAAUUGUUGUUGGGGUGUUCUACCUUGCUCCAUUUCAUUCAUGUUGGGUUAAUAUAUGUCUUGGAAACCUGGGAACACCAGAUUUGUGCCAAUUGUGUGUGUGGUGAUGAAUCUUUCACGUAGGGCUUCAUAUCGUGUUUCGUUGAUUCCCGUUGAUCCGUAGCUCCGUUUGCAAAGUUCUUUACAUGGUUUUGCACCGUUUUUACGAGCUGCAUCUGUUAAUAUCAUUCCCAGGCAUGUCCAAAUAGUUUAGUGCAAAGUUAUGUCCAGGAACUUGUUGUAGUUUAUCCUGCUUGUGCUAGUGUUAGAAAUAGUGGUGCAUGCUCAACUUUCAUCUCAUGCAUCAUGUGAUUGUUGCAUUUUGUGGUGCUGCUGUUCAUUGGCUGUUAUUUCUUGUGUUGGGUAGCACCGGGAGCGGAGAACGAAUACGUGGAGUCAGGAGAGUACGUGCAGGACGAUCCAGAACCAUUCCAAGCUGAGGAUAUCACAGGCAAGAUGACAUGACCUUGAUCCCAUAUCUAGACUUGUUAUGUUAGUUUUGAUUCCACGUCAUAUUGCUCGCUGCCUACCACUGAAAAUAUAUUGCCUCUUCAUAUGCCAUGAGCCUAAACACUUUACUCUUUCCUAGCAAACUUGCCUGGCUAGGUAGGCUUGCUCAGCUACUAAUGUUAGCAUUGUUAGUUGCAGGUGUUUAUAACUCAUGAGUUGCCAUGAGCUUGAUAUCAUUAUAUUAAAUUUCUGUUAUUUAAUUAAUGUAUCUAUAUAUUUGGUAAAUGACGGGAGGCCUAGCCUUUUGCCGGGUGUCUUGUUCCGUUAUUGCCGCCUUAGUUACCGGUUACCGGUGUUUGAUUCCAUAAUGAUCGCUCCUAACACGUUCGGGGUUGUUAUGGGGACCCCCUUGAUAAAUCGCGUAGUGUUAAGGCUUGUCCGGCAGGACCCAACUUUGGUUUUAAUCUGCUAAUCACAUAAUAAUCUGCAUAGGGAAUAGCUACCCCGAGGAAUUUACUCAACAACCCGGGCCAGUGCUCCCCAUGAGUGUUGGCCCCACCUGAGCGAUGUCCGGGGCCCCACUGGUCACCCACAGGUUUAGCCAUCCGGACGUCUAGCUCAUCUGUCGUGUCCUGAGACUGAGAUACGCGGCUCUUAUCAGGGUCGUCGACACGACGGGAGGUCCUGCUAGCCUUGUCUUGCCUUAGCGGUAUAUCUUGCGUAUAGGAAUCCCGGUGAAGCUGUGGUUUUCCCCAGAGUUGAGGUUUUCCUCUAAGGAAUCCGACGAGAUCACGAGAUUCGUGAUAGAGGAUGCCUUUGCGGCCUGUGUUCGUUUGUGAUGGACUAGUUGGAGCACCCCUGCAGGGUUUAAUCUUUCGGAAAGCCGUGCCCGCGGUUAUGUGGCAACUUGGAAUAUCUUGCUAACAUCCGGUAUUAGAAAACUUAAACAUAAACUAAUAAAAUAUGCCAACUGUGUGUGUAACCGUGACUGUCCCUUCGAAGUCCUCUCUUCGAACGGGAACACGGUGGGGUUAUGAAUGUCGUAGGUAGGGGUUCAGGAUCACUUACUGAUCAAGCAUUCUUGUUCGUUAGCGUAGACCACGUUUACUUCCUUCUCGCGUAAGUUAGCCACUUAUUCAAUCAUAGGUUGCAGCAGCCUGAAACACUUCUUACCUUCCUUACCCAUCAACAUGACUAGUUCUGGCACCAAGGUCUUAGAUUGCUGAGUCCCCGUGGCUCACGGAUUCCUCCGAAACUUCCAGCAGGUACAGGUACCCCAGAGACCGAUGGUCCCGAUGGCAUCCAGCUAGCGUGGCAGUACGACGAGGAGACAGACCGUCUUUACGUGAACUAUCCAGAGGACUGAGCCAUGGUCGUGAUCGUGGGCCCGCAGCCGGUAGCAUAGCAUUUCCCUUGUUUUGUAGUCCGUACCGGAACUACCUUGUUUGUAUCUGCGUUGUACUCUGUAUUAUUAAUAAGAAGACAGUUGAAUCCCAGAUUGUCUACUAUAUUUAUUAUUAUGUGCUAUGUUUACUUGCUUGCAAAACACUUAGAUGCGCUUCUUUCCUAUUCGGGGGCCUCGACUCCCAGAUCGGAAAGGACCGCAUCUUGGUCGUUACAAUGUGUGUGUGUGUGUGUCACACACACAUGAGCAAGUGUGUUCAUGGUGGCCUUAGUACACCAUGGGGGUUCUUUGAGCACCUAGGGAUAAGUGGGUGAGUGUCAUGUGGUAGUUUUGUGUGUGUAUGCAUGUGUGUAUGUGGUCAUGCAUGUGUGUGUGGGCAUGGGUGCAUCUAUGCACUUGUGCAUGAGGGCUAACCCCUCAUGCUUGCCACCAUGGUGUGUNNNNNNNNNNNNNNNNNNNNNNNNNNNNNNNNNNNNNNNNNNNNNNNNNNNNNNNNNNNNNNNNNNNNNNNNNNNNNNNNNNNNNNNNNNNNNNNNNNNNNNNNNNNNNNNNNNNNNNNNNNNNNNNNNNNNNNNNNNNNNNNNNNNNNNNNNNNNNNNNNNNNNNNNNNNNNNNNNNNNNNNNNNNNNNNNNNNNNNNNNNNNNNNNNNNNNNNNNNNNNNNNNNNNNNNNNNNNNNNNNNNNNNNNNNNNNNNNNNNNNNNNNNNNNNNNNNNNNNNNNNNNNNNNNNNNNNNNNNNNNNNNNNNNNNNNNNNNNNNNNNNNNNNNNNNNNNNNNNNNNNNNNNNNNNNNNNNNNNNNNNNNNNNNNNNNNNNNNNNNNNNNNNNNNNNNNNNNNNNNNNNNNNNNNNNNNNNNNNNNNNNNNNNNNNNNNNNNUGUAGUUUUUCGAGCUAGUUUUGUGCCUACUUGUUCCAUGCAAGUACCCAUGUAUUAUAUAUGGAUUUGGGGUAAAAUCAUCCCAGGAAUCCACUGGUGGAAUCGGAUUUUACUUUGGAGAAACUUCAUAAACUGUCAUUUUUCUGUCUUGAUGUUAUGUUUAGAGCUUGAUGCCAUGUGGUGUGUUGGGCCUAUGAGGAUGAAUCCUUGAUGUGGCAGUAGUGGGUGAACCCCUCUACAACAUGGAGUCUUUUGUUUUAUACUUAGUAGGUUGUAUGAACUUGUUGUGCCUUGUCAAAGUUGACACUUGGCUGAAAUUGUCAGCUUUGUGAAAAUCUGUGAUUUUCACCAAGUCUGAGAAACUAUUGUUAUUUUCUUCCCUUGUUGAUGUGGUUGCACAAGCUCAUGUGUUGGGAAUCACCAUGCAACAAACUAAGGUUUGUGAGCUUUUGGGUUUGUCUAGCCCUCUCUUAAAUUUCAUGCACUUUCACUUCCUGUAGUUAUCAUUUUGGAGGCUGCCAAAAUGCUUCAGAGCAUAAGCAGCUGGUGAAAAUCUGAGAUUUUCACUAAGUCCAAGAAAUCUGUUAUUUUUGUCCAAGUUUGUGUCCAUAGAUCUUCUUAUGUGUGAUGCCUUUGCAGUAGCUUCUUGCUCAGGCUUGUAGAGCUUUUGAAUGGCUUUUGCCACAUAUCUUGUUUGGCUCAUUUGGGUGGCUGUAGGUACUUUGAAUGUUGUAGGCAAACUGCUAUGAUGCUGUUUAGGUCAGAUUGCAUGUUUUAGUUGUUUUGAAGCCUGUGUGAGUAUUGUUGGUGGUGUGGUGAGUUUCUUUGCACCACUCCGCUUAUAUUUGUUUGUUUGAUCAUGUGGCAACCUGGGAACACCAGAAGAGUGUCAUUGUAGUGUGCUUGUGUUUGAUUUGACCCAUAGGACUCCGUAUCUUGUUUCAUAGUUUCCGGUUGAUUUGUCACUCCGUUCUCAACGUUCUUUAUAUGUUUUUUGCAUCGUUUUCUCGUGAUGCACCUGUUCAUGCCAUCAACAUGCAUGUCAAGAUAGCUUAGUGUGAAGUUAUGUCCAGAAGUUUAUCUUCUCAUCUCAUGCAUAUGCAAGUGACUAGAAUAGUGAGGCAUGCUUCCUUCUCAUCUCAUGCAUCACAUUGUUUGUUGCAUCAUGUUGUGUUCGAGUUCAUUGGCUGUUAUUUUUAUCUUGGGUAGCACCGGGAUCGGAGAGCGAGUACGUGGAUUCUGGGGAGUACGUGCAGGACGAUCAAGAGCAGUUCCAAGCUAAAGACAUCACAGGCAAGAUGACCGUGACCUUGAUACCGUAUCUAGCUUUGUUAUGCUUAGAAUCAUGUUUCCUUCGAUAUAUGCUCGCUGCCUACCACUUGUUAAAAUGCCUCCUAUUAAUGCCAUGAAACCCAAAACACCUUUCCCUCCUAGCUAAUGUUGUUUGGCUAAGUAGGCUUGCUCAGCUUCUAAUGAUUAGCUUUGUUAGUUGCAGGUGCCAGCUGUCUCAUGUGAUAACAUGAGUAUUUUUAUAUCAUUAUGAUUAAUCUGCUAUUUAAUUAAUGCACCUAUAUACUUGGUAAAUGACGGAAGGCCUAGCCUUUUGCCAGGUGACUUGUUCCGUUGUUGCCACCUUAGUUUCGGCUACCGGUGUUUGAUUCCAUAACUGAUCGCUCCUAACACGUUCGGGGUUGUUAUGGGGACCCCCUUGAUAAAUCGUGUAGUGUUAAGGCUUGUCCGGCAGGACCCAACAUUGGUUUUAAUUUUAUAAUCACCUACUAAUAAUUUGCAUAGGGAAUAGUUACCCCGAGGAUUUAUUCAACAACCCGGGCCAAUGCUCCUCAUGAGUGUUGGUCCAAACCAGAGCAUCGUGCGGGGCCAACCCGGGGCAACUGAGGAGAUUUCUAUCAGGCCACCGUACGCUUCGCUUAUCCGGCAUGUCCUGAGACUGAGAUACGCGGCUCUUAUUGGGGUCGUCGACACGUCGGGAGGUCCUGCUAGAUUUGUCUUACCUUAGCGAUAUAUCUUGGGUAUAGGAAUCCAGGUGAAACUUUCGGUCUCCCCAAAGUUGAGGUUUUCCUCUAAGGAAUCCGACGAGAUCACGAGAUUCGUGAUAGAGGAUUACUUUUCGGCCCGUGACCGUUUGUGAUGGACUAGUUGGAGCACCCCUGCAGGGUUUAAUCUUUCGGAAAGCCGUGCCCGCGGUUAUGUGGCAAGCAUGGAUAAUUUGUUAACAUCCGGUUCUAGAUAACUUGAACUAACUCUAAUAAAACUGCCAGCUGUGUGCGUAACCGUGACUGUCUCCUUCGAAGACCUCUCUUCGAUCGGGAACACGGUGGGGUUAUGUUUGACGUAAGUAGGUGUUCAUGAUCACUUAGUGAUCACCUAGACUUCGACCGCUCGCGUAGACCACCAUAUCAAUAACUCUGAUCUUCGUAAGUUAGCCACCAUAUAUGCUUAGGAUGCUGCAACCUAUACACUGAACCUUCCUCACCUAAUAACUUGACUAGUUUCGGUACCAAGGUCAUCCGAUUGCUGAGUCCCCAUGGCUCACAGUUUACUACAACACCCCAACAGGUACAUGUACGCCCGACGCAGGAGAUCCAGAUGGCACGCAGUUGGCGUGGCAGUACGAUGAGGAGAACGACCGUCUGUACAUGAACUAUCCGGAAGACUGAGGCCGUGGUCGUGAUUGUGGGCGAGCAUGCAGGAUAUCAUAGUCUUUUCCUUGUUUCAUGUAGCCCGUAUUGGGACUAUCUUGUCUGAAUAAUUGUGUGGAUGUAACCUUAUAUUACUAUGUCAGAUGGCAAAUGUAUGCCCUAUUUGUCAAUCUUAAUUUAUGUAUUUUCUAUGAUUAUCUCGCUUGCAAUAUGCUUAGAUGAGCCUCUUUCCCU
rnacentral:lncRNA from 1 species